rnacentral:lncRNA from 1 species
GGGUACGUACGUAUAACUCAGGUCUGUAGGAACUAACUAAACAUGUAUCAUGCCGGAUAAUACCAUACGUAUUGUACCAGUUCGGUAUCAAUAUGAAUGAUGUACCGAUUUUCAGUAUAUAAAAAAAAAACUCUGUAUCAUAUCGUAUCAAUAUUAUGCUAGCAUGGUAUCGAUAUGAUGUCUGAUACUAAUACGGCGAAUUUCAGUGCAACAUGAGUACAUGGCAGACUUUUGGGAGGCCCAAAAUAUCUUUUAUAUUAUGGAUGAUGAACCGAUUUUUUAUAUGCUAAAAAAAUUUUGUAUCAUAUCGAUAUGGAGUUUGAUACAAAUACGGCGAAUCUCGGUGCAACAUGAGUACAUCGCAGAUUUUUGGGAGACCCGAAAUAUCUUCCGGGUUAUGCAUGAUUUAUCACAGUGGUAAAUAAUCGGCGAAUCCCGUGAUGUGCAGCCGGUAAAAUUCUUGCACAUACCUUAGUCGUAGAAACUAGGAAGGAUCUUGGAAUCACGUAAAAGUAGAACAAGGUUCGUCCAGAAUCGAUGAACAACGUCCUUGAACCAGAACUCGACACGUAGCCGAAAUAAAAGUGACGCCAUGAGCGGCGUGUGGAGAAGAUAAGUUGCUGUGCUCGGUUGAUGUCACUAUAAGGGUCCACCACCUAAUCAGGUAGGGUACGGCUUGUGAUAAGGACUCAUAGCGCAGACUUUGUCUUAUGCAUACGUGUCGCAAUUUAAAUGGAAGCUUGGCCGGAUUAAGCAAUGUACGACCCUAGGUUGCGCUCAACUGGGCCACGACCUGGACGCAACUUGCCGGUAAUCUUUUUUCGGUGUGGAAGCAUUAGAUUCCGUCUGCUUUCUUUCCGUAGUCAUAAAAUCCAAGAAUACGACUCCAAACAAAGAUUAUUUUCUUUUAAAUCACAACACUAGUUAAUUAAUGUAAUUUUUUUUUACUAACGAUUUGAGUGACACGUGUCGCUCGCAGCUGGACGAUUGGGUUCUGUGCCGGAUCUACAACAAGAAAGGCGGCGGGGACCAGAAGGCGGCCGGUUCGAGGAUGGCUGGGCUGCCGGAGCCGGAGCCGGAGCCGGAGCGGAAGCCGGUGUUCGCCCAGCACGUGUCGGAGCUGGGGUACUUUGACCCGGCGGAGUCGAUGCCGAGGCUGCGCACGGACUCGAGCUGCUCGGAGCACGUGCUGUCGCCGGAGGUCGCGUGGGAGAGGGAGGUCCAGAGCCAGCCCCGGGCGGCGUGGAGCCAGCGGGAGAAGGCCCUCGAGGUUCCGGUUACCAACGAGGGUGCUACUGCCUCGGCCGGCGGGGUCGAGUUCUUUCCCCAGCUCGAACCGGUCUCGCUUGAACCGGGUUUCAGAGACCAGUUCCAGGACAUCCUCAUGUAUCUGGGCAAGCCCUUCUGAACCGGCACGUGACAGGGAGUACGCACUGCUAAUGUACGCCGUAGUGAUGGAGUAUGUAUUGACUCGGGGUGACUCAGGCGAGCCGCCAUGGAAUCGGAUGGUGUUGGACGGUGAUCAGAUGGCGAUGAUGUGGCGGCGAUGAGACCGCGUGGCUCCGAGUCGUGGGUCCGUGUAGUCCUACGUUUAAGGAAGUCUGUGUACAUAAUUGUUAGUUAGUGUAAUGGGCGGGUUAAAUAAAUUUCAUUUCCUGUUUAAUUAUUUUCUAUUUAAUUCAAAGCUAUCAUAAGCUAAUCCGAGAAAAAAAAAACAUCAUUGAUUUAUAUAUAUAUAUAUAUAUAUAUAUAUAUUGAUAGNNNNNNNNNNNNNNNNNNNNNNNNNNNNNNNNNNNNNNNNNNNNNNNNNNNNNNNNNNNNNNNNNNNNNNNNNNNNNNNNNNNNNNNNNNNNNNNNNNNNNNNNNNNNNNNNNNNNNNNNNNNNNNNNNNNNNNNNNNNNNNNNNNNNNNNNNNNNNNNNNNNNNNNNNNNNNNNNNNNNNNNNNNNNNNNNNNNNNNNNNNNNNNNNNNNNNNNNNNNNNNNNNNNNNNNNNNNNNNNNNNNNNNNNNNNNNNNNNNNNNNNNNNNNNNNNNNNNNNNNNNNNNNNNNNNNNNNNNNNNNNNNNNNNNNNNNNNNNNNNNNNNNNNNNNNNNNNNNNNNNNNNNNNNUUAUUAUAUAUAUAUAUAUAUAUAUAUAUAUUUGAUAGAUAAAAUUAUUUUUAGCUAAAAGUUAAAUAUUACAAUAGAAAAAUAAAAAGACGUACAGAACCACAUAUUGCGUCGCCUUUUAUACUGCACAGCACUUUGAAGAGAAUUUUUGGAUACACUAGGAGACCUCUCUUUUACCAUUUUGUCAAGUUCUUACUUUUGAUGCUGCUGCUUGCACCGAUACUAGAAUAAGAUGAGUAAUCGUUAUACCAAACAAAAAAAAAAAGAAAACUCUAAUCAAAACUAUUUUAAUAUACUUAAUUUUUUUAUUCUAUUUUUUUAUUUUCAGUCCCAACUUGCAACACUACCAAAUUCUCCUCCUUUGUUUUAUAAUGCAUCAAACCGAAUGAAUGUUUUAUGCAAGUAAAGAAAUAAAAUAAGAAGAAUUCUUAAAAUGCAGCUCGAGUUCCCUUGGAAAUGUCAAGAUCUAUGAGCACUUGUCUUAUUAGAUUUUGGUGCAGUUAGGAUCAUAAUACCUCACAUCCGUGCAAGUUGAACAAAAAUUAAUCUUUUUGCUAACUAGUCAUCCUGCUUCUCGAGAAUGACCUCAAAUGAUUGGUCUAUAUUUUAAUAGCCCUACGUCACAUCUAGGCUCCAGUGACAAUGAGACGUACACCCGAAAUAUGGAACAAAACAAUGACAUUACAAAUUUAUAAAUCAUAGGAAUCCACUCCAUAUUAGAAUGCAUGAUGACACAAGCACUAGUGCUCUAAACGAAGACACUUAUAAAUUGCACAACCACAUUCACUCUCCUUUUAACAAUCGGAUAUAGGGUCACAGAAUAUUGCUUUCUCUAAUUAUUUAUAUGAAGAACCGAGACGUGCAUGCAUUCCUGUGAAUGCCACAUGCUUCUCCAGAGUUGUUGAGAGCAACAAAAUCAGGGCCAUCCCUAAAGUUCAACAGUUCGAAUAGGAUUGCCACUGGCUUCCCUAUCUUGCAUUGAAACAAGCCUGGUACACCAUUCUAUCUCAAGCAUCAGAGAUCCUUAUCCAACAUUAUGCUCCAACACAAUUGCUCACUAAUUACAGCAAAAUCCUACUAAUAAAUCUGCACAUUUACCCAUUAACCUACCAUCCACCACAUAAAGAAUUCCAAGCACCAGCCUCAUCACUAUGCUUUGCGCUUUCUGCUCACUAUGCUUCAUUGCCGCAUAGAUCGUGGCAGGAGUCAAAAUUUAAUCAUGUCCUGCUUCGAGAAGUAUCUCUGAUUAUUUCUGAAACAAAAAUAGCAAAAGCUAUAUGAAUGAACAUGGUCUUCGCAACAAACAUAAAAUGGGGGAAAACCAUGGCAAAAGCAACAAACAUUACGACAGAAGCAGCCAACACUGUUUUAUUGCUUGAUAUUUCUUGCUGUAAACAUGAUAGCAGCGACAAGGACGGGGAACAGAUCAUGUGGAGCGGGCAUGAUGGGUACGAGAAGCCCAAACUCCAAAAACAAGAAACCAGAAUAUGAACAAGAUUGCCCAAUAGCGCGCUGGUCCAUACUUGAUUCUUGAUAGUACAACCUGUCAUUAAAAAGAGACUUGCAUAAUCUUUUAUCUACUAUAUAAGAGGAGCAAACAACCUCAUCUAACCAAUGGAAUGUAAUAAAAAGAUACUAGCAGCCACGAAAGAAUAUAGCUAUCGAACAAAUGAAAAGUCUCAUAUAUUCUACUACUUUUCCACACUAGCAUCAUAAAUAGAAUGAUAUUUAAGAGAAAUAAUAUGUUUAUUCACGGGUUGACAAAGCAUCAUUGGAGUCCCUUGUUACAGGAUUAAUGACCAGUGCCUGCAUCUCCAAUUAACUAUACAACCUUGUGCUUCCAAGCAUUAGAUUCAACAGAUAUAGCAAGAGAAGCCAAAAAUUGGAAAGUAAAAUAACAUUUGGGGUGCCAACUGGUUAGAGUUAGUCAUGUUACUGGGUGUCGGAAAACAAUGACCCAUGUUUCAUCCUGCCAUGCCCUGAUUUUGACCAGGCUUUCUUCCAUAAUUCUCUCAGGGCACAAGCUGGCACCAAUAUUCAUCUUUUGUCAUCACCUUGUCCACCACUAGAUACAUAUUAAAACCUUGCCCAAGUCACCACUGGCUUCCAAAUGUUGCUAGCACAGUAGAUUUAACUGUAAGCCAUAUAAUAUUAUCAACCAAUGUCGACAAAAGCAAGGUUUUGAUAUUGCCAAUCUCAACCCCUUCCCCAGCCAAGAUCCGCUUCCUAUUCCUUUACCAAUCCUGAGCUUUGACUCCACAUGCUCCUUGCCACUAUGCUUCCCACUUGCAUUUCCUCCAAUGUCCAGUUGAUGAACUAGGCAAGUCACACGGAGCAAUCCAAUAUCCUGGGCAAAGUUUUGCUGGAACAAUGAUAGAUAAAAUACUGAGGGUAGACAACAUUAACUCAAGAAACUUGGUCUAGCACUUAAAGACAAUAAUACAUGACUUUGGUAAUAGAGCCUGUUUUCAGACCCAAACUGGGUUCUGCUUUUGCUCACAUUAAUGAGGCAACUGCAAAUUGUAACCCCAUAUAUCAUGCCACUCCCUUCUUGUUCCAACUCCUGUUCUAGUUCUUGGCUUCCUGGAAUCACCAAAUUAACUGAAGCAGGAUGUACAUCCUAUAAUAUGCUCACACUGUCAUGAUGGAAAAAUUCUGUAUUACUCUAUAUAAAUUCUGUACAAACUAAUAUGGCUUUAUUCCCCUCUAAGCAUGCCAUUGAAGUGAGCCACCAUGAAAUUUCUUGCCCGAGGAACCUUUUUUUCCCUUUGUUGGUUACAUUAUUAGUUGUUUUUGAAAGAGCAAAUUUUUCCCAAAAGAUCUAGCACAGGAAUAGGAAGUUCUCUCCUUAAGAAAGAAGCACAAAUACAUAUCCACAAGUUUGCCUGAUGAGCUACAGAUUCAUAUAGCACAAACUUGAUACAGGAUCGGUCAUAAGAUUCCAAAAUAGCUUAUCUUUAUCCACUGUAAAAGUUCUCAGUGACGCUUUGUUCUCUUAAUGCAAACCAAUUUUAAGAUAUAAAAUGAACUGUAGAUUACAAGCAAAGAAAUCAUAUAAGAAAUGUUGGGCCAAAAGAAAACAUAAAUCAAAAGUCAAAAUCUUCAUUUAACAAAAAAAGGAUUAGACAUUCAAGAAUAUAAAACAAAGGAUUUACUUACAAACCGAAGGAAGAUCACAACUGUCAAGGCGCAUAUACCUCCAAGAAGAAUGUGAAGACCAUUUUUUGCAGUUUUCUGCAGGUUGGUGAAAACUUUGUAUGUGAAGCAGCAAAAUGUAUUAGUAAAGCAAACAAUUGUAUUUGAUUAAUGGUUACUGAAAAGUUAUACCAAUUAACCGUCCAUGCCACAAAAUUAUUAGAUGUAUGCAGAUUAUGCCUAUAUAUAUGACUAUACAUAGGUCAUAUGGAAAGGAGAAAGUUAAUAUGAUAUGAAUAAUUGGAAUACGUGGAAUGAUUUUGAAUGGCUACUGCAAGUUGAACAGUGAUAUGCAAUCAUUCCCAUGAAAAUUGUGACAAUUCAAACAGAAAUUCCAGCCACCAUUAUCAGUUGAAACUUUUAAAUUGGCACCAAUCAAACGCAUACCUUUCCAACAUGAGGAGCAAUUAACCAUGCAAGGGUAACUGUAAGAAGGCCAGUAGCAACUAAAAUUCCUGUAAACUCGAUAGCCCAUUUAGUUGUUGGAUUAUCAGGUACCACAUUUUCUGUUGGGUUAUCAGGCAACUCUUCUACAAUUUCUUGUGAAACUGUUAUGGCAUGACUUUGAGGAUUGAACCACAAUGAUAUCUCGCUUAGUCUUUGUCUUCGGAUAGCAGCAAUAGCAUCAGGAUCUACAUCUGAAGCUGUCUCAGUAGGUACAUGUGUAAGCUCCCCCGUAGCUGUCCUCUCCCUUAAUGCUUCAUAAUCCUUCAAGGAAGCCAUGAUCUUUCUGAAAUCUGCAGGCCUUACAUUUUUAGCAACAUUUCCACAUAUCUCACAUGUAGUGGAUCCAUGGCUUAUAAACCACUUCAAUGCACAGGCAUAGUGUGCAAGAGCAAGAUCAUUUUUGCAGGAACAUCCUAGUUCAAUUAGCAUGUCUUGGUGAUGAUAUGAGCCUGAUUCUACAUCAGUGCUACAAACAAAUAUCUCCCCUUCAGGGCUUAUGAACUCUAUAAAUCCAGGAACCCUUCCGCAAUUCUUGGAAUCUUCAUCCUUUUCAGCAAUUCUCUUGGGAACCUCAUCUUCAUUUUUGUUGAUUUCUAAAAUUUCUUGUGAUGGGGGGAUAAUGUCCAAGAAACCUAAGGCAGCAUCCCCCCUUCUGUCUGAUUCUGCACUAUGGCACACCCGACAAAGCAAGAGACCUGCAUCCCUAUCUGUGCUACAAUUUGAUGCCUGUGAUGUAUCUGUGCUACAUCUUGAUGUAUGUGACGUAUAUAACUUCUGACCACUCAUGGAAGUGCAUGAAUUUGUAUCAUUCACUCCACCAGCAUGAAACUGCAUAUGUUCUUCUUUGAGGCCUGUUGGAUAAAUUAAAGACUCCUCUAAGGUCAACAGAAUCUUCUGAGCUUACUCCUAAGCAAGUGGCCCACCUGACAGAAAACUUAUGGUUGAAACAGUAUAACAAGCUAGUAGUAUUCCUACAUUGCACGAAAAGGAGGCAACCGCACAGCCUUUAUGACAAUUUGAGACAAGUUUUUUUUGCUAACUUGAACAUUUAAGAUUAUCCAUGCUUCAGUAACCAAGACAAGUCAGGCAUGCCAGUGACUUUAAAAGGUUGAAUGAUAUUGAUGACUGACAGCCCAGUACAGAAACUGAAAACUGCACCAGAAACCAAUAUCAUGUUCGACUACAAUUGUUCAGAACUAUAAUUACAAAAUUACAAAAAAAUGUCAUCUUACAUUUCCUCAAAAAUUUUGCAAAUUUAAGAAGACUGACGAACAAAAAAGGAAAAAAAUUAAAACACUGGAUAUUCCAGAAACAGCAUUUAUCAUAACAAUAUUUCUCAGGAAUAUAGCUGAUAAAAAUAAAUCCUUACCAUGCUUUAUAAUUUAAUUAUUUCAGAGACACAAACAUAGAAAGACAGGGAGGGUGGGAGGUCAACUGUUUUAACACUCCAAUAUGCAAACAUUAUAUCUGGAUCUGGUCGCUACUGGAAACAGCGACGGAGAAAUACUAAAUCUCACUUCAAACAGAUAAACUGAUCAAUCUCAAAUAGACUUUGGCACCAAAUGAUGUAGUAUGUAUCUCAAGAUUAUAUCAAUUACCCAAAGCCCUUUUGAUGGACAAGUAUAAAAGGAACAUUUCUGAUCCCACAAUAUACUAAUUCUAAGAAAACCACAUUAUCAACAAACUUUUUUAAGAUUUUUAGUAGGAAUUAUCAGAAAGACAAGUUGGAGAACUGGAUGUGCAAAGUCAGUAUGAGCACCUUGACAGUAAAAUACCGAAAGAAAGUAUGAGUGCUUUCUCCCAUUCCUCUUGACAAGAGAUUGCAGAGGCCCAAGUCCAAUCAAAAACAGGGGGAAAAAUGAAAGAGAGUACAACCAUAGUUCAUAGUGUCAGUUUCAAAAUGGAUAGUAAACUCCCCAUACAUAGGUGAACCAAACUGUACUAGAUACACCCUCAGUAUCAAAAUAGGUGCUUCUGGCUGAUCCACUUAUGUUUUUUCAAAGAGCCCAUAUACCAUAGGAGGACAUAAAAACCACAAGCUAGUUAUCCUUGGAACUUGUGCAAUGGGAGCUGGCCAAAAGGCAAGUAUUCAUAUCACAAGCAAGUUAAGCAAGAGGUCUACAAAUCUGACAAAACUAGACAAGGAAUAGGUAUCCCUCAAUAUAGUAUAAAGCCAUAUCAAUUGACAUGAAUUGUUGUGGAGCAUAUAACACAUCCAAUGGCUUUCCCUAAGUGAUCUGUGCCAAAAGUAUACAAUAGUGUUGAAAUGGAGUCAGCUUUUAAAUUAUGAUUAAACAUACCAAAUGCCUGAAACCAUUAGGAGUAAAAAAAUAAACUAUUGCCAAGCAUAAAGAUCCAAGGCCAACCUUUUUUACAGCAACUUAUACAAAAAAAAAAUAAUAAAAAAAAUGCAUGGAAUAUAUUCCAUCAUUUACAUGCACCAACAUAGAAAGGAACUGACUAGUUGGUAGGGUCUUGCUUGUGGUGUGGCUGUGCAAUGCAUUGAAAAACAAUAGUAUAAUUUAUAGUCCAGCUAGCUCCAAAUAUCCUGCUUUAACAUUACUAAUUGCGAAACACAGUAUAGAAUGCAGAACUUUAGUACAACUAGUCAUAGUAUGAGCCAUUACAAAUUACAUUACCCCCUAAUAAUCUGUCAAAAUAAAUAUGUAAUUAGCGUCAGGUCUUUUGGAUAUUAUUUACGAACAAAAAAACAAUUGAACAACAUUGAAAGCCUUCUCAGCACCCAUAGAGUUACGAAACCCAGCUAUAAAGCUAGACAUGAACAAAAACAAACCUUACUGAGCAUCCCCUUCUAGAGAGACGGUCUGAGUUGCUAUGCUUAGUUUGAUGAUUUUGAUAAAAGACUUUAGAUUCUUUUUUAAUAAAAAAACUUGUUAUUGAUUUCAUCUAUUCAACAAAUGAAUUUAAGGUUUUUGACAAAAUCUGGUAUGGUUAAACUUAAUUCUAAUGAAAGCUCCCUUGAGAAUAAAGCACUUCCUAUUGUUGUUGCUUGUUCAAAAGGAAAAUAAGCUGCACUGCCUCCCAAUAUUAUUUUAAAGAAUGUAACUAAUGAUGACAACAAACAUGCUUUAUUAUGGCUUGCUCUUCUAUCCACUUCAAGCACUGGUCCAUGGAUGAUUUUACCCUUACUGUAGGAGUUAGAAGCAUCUCAUAUGGACAUGUUUCUAUCAUCUUUAAUGGGGUGACUAUGCAAUAAUAAUCAUUUCCAAAAAAAUUGGUAGAGCACGUAAUUGCUUGUGCAUGCACUACCUUCCCCCUACUGUAUGCAAUCUCUUUUUGUGAUUAAGAGUUUGAUUUUUGUAGCUUAUUUAUGGUCCCUUAUUUAAAAGGAGAGGCCAAAGAUACUGAAAAUAAUUUAGUAGUCUUUCAUCAAGGUAUCUUUCUUUCCUAGGAAAAAGGCCUGCAAUUUUUCCCCUUAGAAAAUUGAAUCUUUCAAUCAGUUUUCUUGCAAGUAAAAUACAUGAACAUGAAAUCUGCUUUAUGUAGAGGCUAAAAUGUUGCAAUUUUCAUAUGCUCCCAUAAACAGCAGGAAGAAAGGAACUUCAGCUUUUCCAAAGCAUCGCUGUAUGCCUUUUUCAUUUUUUUUUCUCCAUCCACCAAAUUAUCUGCUAACAUCUGAACCACUCCUCAUACAAAACCUUGAUUUCCCUGCUAAAAUAAAGAAACCUUUUGCUCUCCAAAGCAUGGCGAUACAGUCAAAUUUUUUUUUUCAAAACUUUCAUUUUUUUCCCCUUCCAAUGCUUUCCCUGCAGAAAAAAGAAAAAUGCAACUAACUUCUAGGUUUUUCUGCAAAUGGGUAUUACCGUUCUUGGCAUACACGAGGUUUUUUUCCAUUUCCUUAUCAAUCGAUCCAAGCACUACAAAUGAGAAAAGAAUUGUUGUUCCUUGCCAUUCAAAAACUCAUCUGGAAAAUUGUGCAUGUCCUUUCGUUUCAAAUAUUUUGUCAUAUUUCUCCCAUAUCUUAGUAAGUUGUAACGAAGAGAAAAAAGGCUUGUAUAGUACCUUCACCACAAAACUAAUCUAAUCAUGGUAGCAACUUUUCAUUCAUCCCGCAUGAACAAAACCUUGCAUGCAUAUAAAAUCCUCUCCUUUCAUGUUCCUACCCACCCCGGCUUGGCACCAAAUAUACACCGGCAUCCCCCGAGAAACAGCCCUCAUUCCUUGAUAUUGUCAGAAAUGUACAUAUAGAGAACUCAGAAUCAACAGAGACCCUUCAUGCUUCACAGACGCCAAACAACGAAGUAUCUUUCACAUACCAAUACAGGAAGAACCCCAUGUUUUUUGUGGAUACCAGCAUAGCUACCAAGAGGUAUGAGAGUAGAAACCCACCGUAGAGGACGGCAGGUUGGCACUUCCAUCCUUCACAAUUUAUUUCUGUUGAUACCCAAUAAAAUCACCCUAAAUUACAAUGGGCCUUGAUCAAAGGCAAUCCUAUAAUUAUCAAAAAUUAGGUCAAUGAAUUGUAGAUUUACCGAUUCCCUCUCAAAAUCCAUUCUGAAAGCACUUCAAGAACUCCCCAAGAUUAUGCGGGAUUAUAAUUCAAAGCCCAGUAAAUAAAAAACCACUCAAAUUAUCCAUAAAUCAGUGGAUACUUUCUUCCUUCUGCGGAUUUGGAACUAUAACUCAAACACAUUUCUGAGGUUCCACGGAUCACAUAACUAAAUCACAACAAACAACGGUUCGAGAAACAAAACCUCGAGAAGAACCCUGAUUUGCUCUGCUGGACGCAUCGGAGAAAAUCUAAAACGACACGUCAAAGCAAAAUUAUCAAGUCCUUCUCUAGGGUUCCAAUGCAUACCAAAUUCACGGCUUAACGGAGAACAAGAACAUUUCAGCGAUCUACCUCACACAUGUUGAAGGCAAUUCGAAGGAAGAGGAAGUGAACUCACCCUUCGGAGACUCUGCAAACGGACCAAAAGAAUCUCCAGCCCGAACUCGAUCGCAAUCAAUGCCGCUCGAGAAAGGAAGAAAAAGGGCGCAGAGGAAGUAGAGAAUCUAUUUGGCUUGUUGGGAGUGACACGGCGCACCGUGGAAAAAGGCGGCCGGUGAGUGCCGCGUAGUUAGCCUUAAAAAAAGGCUGCCGUACGGACGUAUGCAUAGCCAUUUCUAUGCGUGCGUGGGGAUUGCCCUCCUACCUAUCUAUGAAUGCUGCUAUACCUAACUUCCAAUCCAACAAAAGAAAUAGAAUAUUAAUUGAAAAUAUUCAAAAGUAAGGUAGAUGGUAGAUUCGAAGUUUAAGGUGGCAUUGCUUUAUUAAUGGUUUUAUUUUCUUUUUUUGUAAUGUUGACUUAGGAAAGUGGAAUUGUGGUAGAUUAGGAUGGACUAUCUUUUCAAUGAAACAAUAUGUUUGGUGUUGGAACCAAAGGUCAUGGGACAAUGAAAGAUAUCCAACUAGAGGGGCUUAAUAGGUAUAUGAGACAUGAUGUACUUGGCAUGAAGUUGCACUUUCUAAUGUACCAAUAUGAACAGUGAUGUCUAAAUAUCAUGGUGGUAGUUAGCAAAGCCAAGUUAGGCCGCCGUGCACCUAUAGACGAGAAUCUAGUGCUUUUAAGAGUAAAAUUUAGGCUUAAUGAAUAAUUAAGUGUUUUGACUAACGCAACAUUGUGUGAUUUCAGAAAAUCAGUGUAUUUGCACCUUACCAUAAUAGACUUGAUUAGCAAAAUAUAUGUACCGUAUGGCAUCCAUCAAUGCGAAAUCACUCUAUCGUGUAUUUAGAGUUAAGAGGACGUGCCCUUUUAAAAUUGCAAUUGAGGUACAUUCUCAAUUGAAAGUGUUUUUAGGGAGCUAAGUUGUAGCACGACAUGAUCUCAAUACUCUUUUAACAUGCCAAGCAAGUAAAAUUCAGAAGUUACGCUAUGCAUGAUCAAUUAUGUUUAGUAUCUUAUAAAUUCUUUAAGUCCUUUGCUUAUCAGCAACCGAGAGAUAUAUAUUAUGUUAUAUAUUUGCACGUUGUCUUCGUAGAAAUAGCUGCGAAUCAUCAGCUCAAUAGAGGACCUUUCAUAUUCAUUUUGCACUCUUCCUGAAAAAGCUUCAUCCCGGAUCUAGAUGAGAGACUUGAACCCAAGUCGAUAUCGUCUUUUGAAGACUUUACCUACGCUAUUUGGUACAUCCAAAUGAGCUUUCAUUUGAACCACCUGAUAGUUUAGUAAAUCUCUGCUAUGAAAAUUUUUGUAAUUAUGCUAAAACAUGUUGAUCUUGUGAGCGACUGGCUGACUUUCUAAUAAUUUUGUGAAGAAACUUUGUGAUAAUCCAUGAGUCAAGGAGGAUGGACAUUUUUUUUGUUAUGAAAAACUUGUCACACAAGCAUGGUCCAAUAAAUAUCCUAUAAAAUUUGUAAAUACUAUUGACAUCAUUCUUUUGUUGCAUAGGAAACUACAAUAGAAUUGGUUAGAGAAUUAAUACUUGUAGAACAAUGUUAAGAUACAAUCAUAGUGACAAUAACCCUUCUCCCAUGGCUUGUAAUGUUAGUGCAAGCCUCCACAGUGCAUCAAGACAAGCAAUGAUACACCUUUUCUUAAAGUUCAACAGAUCAGAUCUAAGUCACAUUAUUUUUUAUGGAAAAACAAAGAAAAGAAAGCAAUUUUCUCAUCAUCUCCAACACCCUUUUCUUCUAUAUAUCUUAGAAGCCUCCAUUUCCCAAUGACAUGCACCUCCAAACCGGUCCUUAAAGUUGCAAUGAUCUUCUCUUCUUUCCACCAAAAAUGCCACCGAUCCCACCCGCUGUAAUCCCUUCAAAAGGUUCGAGUCCACUCUAGAGAUAGCACAGGUGUCGGCGAGUAGAGGAAGGCGACACAGCAGUACUCGGCAAACGCCUCGUCGUCAUCGUGCACUCCCUAAUUAGAACGCGCGUUAUGCGUAAAGGAUGACAGCUGUAAGGUCUUCGAUCAGAUCUAUCAGAGAACAAGACACGGAAUGAUUCACGUCUCCGCACCACGUGGUUCGCUGCCUUCGGGUCUCCUCCCCUCACCGACACUCCACAUUUGACCUCAAAUUUUUGCUGCUAUUAGAAUCUUAGCUUUCAUUCCAUUUUUUAUCUCGAGAUGUAGUCCAAGAGGUCCAUUUUCCUGGUCAACACGUUUACACAUGAAAUCUCAAGGCAACUUAGUUUUAUAUUCAUAAGAUCCAAUAAAUACUUAAUUUUUAUGUUGAAAAAUGUAUACUGUUUAAAUUAUUUUUUUAAACUGAUUUGUAAGCUGAUGUGGUAUUUGAUAUGAUAUUUUAUGAAGGUUUUUUUUUUGUAUGAAUAUCUUUCUAAAAAUUCAAAUUUAUGUGAAUGCUCUCUUAAAACUUAUAUAUAUUUUUGUACUCUUAUAAAAUACUAUUUUUGUAUAAAUACUCUUAAUAUAACGAUUUUUUAACAUAGUUAAUAAAAACCAUAUUUAUUAAUUAAAAAUAAAAUAAAUAUCCAUUAAAGGUAUUUUAGUUGUUUUAAUUUGAAACCGUCAAUUUUUUAACGACGUUAGAUAGCAUGGAUAUAUAUGCAAAAAUAAGGAUUAAAAAAAAGGUACAAAAUAACAAAACAAGUGUUUUAAGAUGGUAUGCAUAUAAAUAUCAAUUUUGAGAGGAUAUUUAUGCAAAAUUCAAUAUUUAGAAAGGCAUUCAUGUAGAAAAACUUUUUAAGUAAAUAGUAAGUUCUCUAUUAUUCAAACAUACUUAGUUGUGUCUUAUGAACCGGCACAUAUAUUUUCUCAAGUCUCAUCGUAUCAAUUUUUUAAACUAAUAUACACUAUUAUUGCUAUUGUUUUGUAUGAGGUUGGAUUCGUGACGAGCAAAUUGAUACAAAGUGAUAAGUUAAACUACUGAACUAUGGUCAAAAUUCAUCAAAAUAUACUGUACUAAAGCUAUCAAAGCAAAUUAAUAUGUAAUUAAGAUCCAACUAAUUCAACAAAUUAAUAUAAAUCAAAUAUACAAGCAACUAACGAGCAAUUAAAAAAAUGGAAGGAGAGAGCAGCUCUUGAGAUUUUUCUAUAAUUUUGAGAUCUCUAUAUUUCCUUUUCAUAUCAUUUCCUUUCUAGAGCGGUUCAAGUUUUCUGCCUUUUUGCUCUUAAAUUUCCCCCAAUAUAGUUAUUCUAAAAAUUCCUUUUUCAAUAAAAACCGGGUGUCAUCUUUGCCCCUUGAUUUUACCCGAAAAAAUCAAUAAAAAAUAAGGGCAGUUUCGUCAUUCCAAAAUUAACACCUGGCCUGCCUGGUGUUGGUGGGCCUCCGGUACCACACGAUCCCUUCCGGUGUGCUGUCCGUGCUCGCCGGUUGUCCCCGCGGAGGAUUCGCGUCUCAUGUCCCCUCAAAGGCCUUUUAUUUUAAACGAAACCUACGGUAAAAUACGAACUAACCUCUUAACUCGAUUCUGACGUCAUCGGUUUCCUUCGUCCUUCGCGCGGAUAAAAGGCAUCCGAAGGAACAACCGCCCCCGUUCCCCGCCUAAAUUUUUUAUUAUUUUGCCGGCAUUUAAAAAUAAGAAGUUUAGUACGGUCUUCGUCCACUCGCCUCCUAUAAUACCCUCACGGGGUGCUCCCCCCUCUUCUUCAAAGCCGGGGGAGGGGAGAAGGAACCCUCGAAGCUCUCGCUCGUUUUCUUCUCCUCGCUUCAGAUCCGCAGGGUUUCCAGCUGAAGGAGAGGUAAGGAUGGGCUUUCUCGGGUUCGGAUCUCUUGGAUCUACGUGCUGUUGCUUGUUUUUGCGUCGAUUUGGUCUUUGUUCCAGGAUUUUUUGGGUUUUUUUGAUGUUUUUUUUGGGGGGGGGUAUGUUUCUUUAGAGAGUUGUGGAGUUUGUUCGUAUUUUAAAAAAAUUUAGUCUUGCUGAUGUAGAUCUGUUUUGAGUUAGCUUGAGUUGGAUCUAGUUCGGACUGAGUGAUUCUUGCUUCAAAUUUUGUGAAAAGUAAGUUUAGCUGACACCUUGUGGUGAUUUAGCUUUUUAUGAUGCUAUUCUUGUCGCCAUAUUUGUCUAAUGUGAAAUUGUGUGAUCUCUCUCUUUCUUGAUGUUAUUAUGCUGAGAAUCUGUCUGUUGUUACCGUUUGAUGCGAAGUUGGUGCAGAUCUUGAAGUGCUUAAAUAUAUAAUUUGUUCAGAGAUCUGCGUUUUUUCUUAAAAAAACUUAAAAAUCAGUCGAAAUGGUACGAAUUCGCUCUUUCCCCCCUUCAUAUUGGAGUUAGUUUAACUUUGAUAAAUUAAGGGCUUUUUGGUUAUUUUUAGUUAAAUUGCAGUUUAUUUGCGCCGUACUGGGAGAAAAUUCAAUAUUUUCUACCAUCACCAUCGGUUGAAUCUGCAGUUUGUCGCCUGCUUCGUAUUUUGUAUAAUGCUUGGUGUCCGUUAGUGUUUGUUGCUUAUCUUGUUUAAGCGUUGCACUUGUUUUCAUAACACUGUUAAGUUUUUUUUUUUUUCUUUUCUUCCUGAUAAAUUUAGGAAGUAACCAUUUCAUUUCACGGGCAUGGCAUGUUCAUCAAACUCCUACUUUAUCUUUCUAGAUCUAUAAAGUAUCACUACAGAUCUGCAUGGAGUUUCAUAUAUCCUUUUCUACAUUUCAAUUACAUACUAGAUCUGCUGGAAAUUAGUGAUUUUUGUUACUGUGUUUUCAAGAAAGAGUAUAAGGAGCUUGAUUGUUGUUUUAAAAAUUAUUUUUCUUGCACCAUUUUUUCAGAUAAACUAUUUGAAAGGUGUUUGCGUGUAAUAAAAUGGCAUUCGGGAAAAGCUCGCGGGCAGAUGCUAGGAGGACGUCAUCGUCCUUUUGUUCAACAACAACAAUUGUUGUGUUUGUUGCUCUGUGCUUAGUUGGCGUAUGGAUGAUGACAUCCUCGACUGUAACCCCUGUGGAGAUGUCUCCACCGAGUUCCAAAUCUGAUGCUAAAGAUCAAGUUCCUGAAACUGAUUCUAAGCCAUUUGAAGAUAACUCGGGCGACAUAACUGAAGAUUCAGAGAAGUUGGUGCAGAAGACUCGUGAGGAGAAUCCUGUGAAGGGCAAUGAGGAUACCAAGGAUGAGGCAGAGGACACAUCUAAAACUCUGACUUACAGUGAUAGAAACGGGAAGAGUGAAGAAGAAAAAGUUCAGGAGGGUGGAGAUGCAAAUAUGGAGACAGACACAGGCAGUCGGGCAGAUGGGGAGGGCAGGAACAGGGAACAAAAAUCAGAUGAGCAAGAUACGAACUUGGCAAGGAAUUCCAAGAAAGCUGAAAAUAAUGAACAGCAAGAAACCAAUAGUGAAAAGAAAUCCGAAGAAGAGGAGAAAUCUGAUGGUGAUGAGAAGGAUAAGGGUCAGAUAGAGGAGAAGGUGGAGCAAAGUGAAGGCAAGGAGACAGGACAAAUCUCUGAUAAUAACAAUGCUGGGAACCAGGAUGAGGAUCAAGCCUCAAAUGAGGUGUUUCCAUCUGGGGCCCAGUCAGAGCUUUUAAAUGAGACCAAUACCCAGAAUGGAGCAUGGUCUACACAAGCUGCAGAAUCAAGGAAUGAGAAGGAAGUCCAAGCAUCUGCCUCAUCCAAGGGCCAACUUGUAGGUUACAAUUGGAAGCUUUGUAAUGUCACUGCUGGAGCAGAUUUUAUCCCUUGUCUUGACAAUGAGAAAGCUAUCAGGAAGCUUCCAAGUACCAAACACUACGAACAUCGGGAGAGGCAUUGCCCUGAAGAGCCUCCAACCUGUCUUGUUUCUCUUCCAGAUGGAUAUAAACGACCAAUUAACUGGCCCAAGAGCCGAGACAAGGUUUUUGUUUUGGAAUUCUCUUUGCUUUUUAAUGCUGUACUAUUUCUUCCUUUAGUCAAGUUUAUUUAUUUCUAUUAAUUUUGUGACUAAACUGCAGAUAUGGUAUUCUAAUGUCCCACAUACCAAGCUUGCAGUGGUAAAGGGGCAUCAGAAUUGGGUGAAAGUUUCAGGAGAAUACCUCACUUUUCCAGGGGGUGGAACUCAGUUCAAACAUGGUGCACUCCACUACAUUGAUUUCAUUCAACAGGUUCACUUCUACCACAACUUGUUCUUCUUCUAUAAAAAAUUCUUCUAAUAAUCCCGAACCUAAUCUUUGCAAAAAAGCGUGUACCGUACUUUUAUGUUUACAAGCUAAAGUUCUAGCACACAAAAAUCGAAUUAUAUACUUUAUUUGAUACAAACUCUGUUUUUUUGAGGAUCCACUGUGAUAAUGAGAAAAAUUUUGAUUGUUUUCAANNNNNNNNNNNNNNNNNNNNNNNNNNNNNNNNNNNNNNNNNNNNNNNNNNNNNNNNNNNNNNNNNNNNNNNNNNNNNNNNNNNNNNNNNNNNNNNNNNNNNNNNNNNNNNNNNNNNNNNNNNNNNNNNNNNNNNNNNNNNNNNNNNNNNNNNNNNNNNNNNNNNNNNNNNNNNNNNNNNNNNNNNNNNNNNNNNNNNNNNNNNNNNNNNNNNNNNNNNNNNNNNNNNNNNNNNNNNNNNNNNNNNNNNNNNNNNNNNNNNNNNNNNNNNNNNNNNNNNNNNNNNNNNNNNNNNNNNNNNNNNNNNNNNNNNNNNNNNNNNNNNNNNNNNNNNNNNNNNNNNNNNNNNNAUAUGGUAGCUGCCUUUCUCUGUCUCCUGAUAUUUGCCAUUUCUCAACAAGUGAGAUCCUGUUUUCAUGCCUUCUGAGUGCUUGAAGUUUCUUUUUUUUAUCCUUGGGUGGAUAAUGUUGCUACUCCUAUUGGCUCUUGUAUUUUAUAAUCUUUGUUGCUUAUGUUCCUAUUAUUGCAUUUGAUAGAAAGAACUCACAAUUGUCAUCGCCAUUGUUCCCAUAUCUGCAUGUGCUGUGUUUAGUUAUAACUGUUUGCAUGCUUAUGUUGCUAAUCCCUUUAUUGUGCAAGGUGCCUUCUGUAGAAUUUCUGUUUAACUGUUUAUCUUUCAUGCUUGCUUGAUUAUCUCCUAUGUGCAAUAAUUGGGACAAAAUUUAUAGGGUGCUUAUAAAACAUACUUACAAUCGUGGCAUGUAUUCCUAUUUAAAUGUCCUUUAAAAUUCUCUUAGUUUAGCUUCUCAGUAGGUCUUCUUUUUUAAGAUAAUUUAUGACUUUAUUUUUUAUUUUUUAUUUUUAUUUUUACUUUUAUAUUUUGCUUAUACAUGACAUGUAUGCUUUUAUCUUACUAUUUCAGUCAGUAUCUGAUAUUGCAUGGGGAAAACAAAGCCGUGUUGUUUUGGACGUUGGCUGUGGUGUGGCUAGUUUUGGAGGCUAUCUCUUUGAUAGAGAUGUGCUUACCAUGUCAUUUGCACCCAAAGAUGAGCAUGAAGCUCAAGUGCAAUUUGCUCUUGAGCGAGGAAUCCCAGCUGUAUCAGCAGUCAUGGGCACCAAGAGACUUCCCUACCCUAGCAAGGUCUUUGAUGUUGUCCACUGUGCCCGCUGCCGAGUACCUUGGCAUGUUGAAGGUACUUAAUGUUAGACUUUACGUGGACUUUAUUUAUUUACUCUUACUCUGCUUUGGAAUCUUAGAGGAGGUAACUUGUAGGUGGUAUGCUUUUGUUGGAGUUAAACCGUCUGCUGCGUCCUGGUGGUUACUUUGUGUGGUCUGCUACUCCAGUUUACCAAAAUAUUCCGGAAGAUGUUGGAAUCUGGAAAGGUAAAAUUUAUUCGUAUGUGUUUGCUUGAUUGAAAUAGAUGCAGAGAAAAAAGUGGGCUACUGAAAAAUUUCAAAAUGCAUUAUAAAUUAUCUCAUGGAAACUUUUAAGAAAGCAAAGUCUCAAAUAAACUCAGAAGUCGAAUUAUUCUGAUACUGUCUAAUCCUAAAACAGAGUGAACUUAUUUUAGUUUUAGACUUAUAGCAAACUUUUAGGUUUAGGUCAACCAAAAUGUCAAUGACUAAAUGUGAAGUAAAAUCUGCCUUCUCAAUGGCAAACUUUUUGCUUCAAGUGUUCUUAAAAUAUUUGGUUUGCUGCACCCACACCAGCACCUGCACCUGCACCUGCACCUGCACCUGCCUAUACUUCUGAUUCCGGCAACUAAGCUUUAGUAUCCAUUCCUUAUGAAUUAUUUUUUACCUCUUCUGCAUAAAACACAUUUAAUCAGAAGGAAACCUCAAUGUAUAGGUUUCACCAGACAUGUUUAUUUUGCUAAAUCAUCUUGAGUGGAGCUUAUCUGGUACAAGCUGUAAAGAUAAGAAUCCCACGUCUUGCGCAUGAGUAUGAUAAAAAAAUCUCUUGGCCAAGUGCCUGUAGAAAGUUCUAACCUAUAAUUAUGCGGAUUUUGAUGUCAGCCAUGUCCGCCCUUACAAAGUCCAUGUGCUGGAAAAUGAUAAAUAAAACAAAUGAUACCUUCAACCAAGUGGGUGUAGCAAUCUUCAGAAAACCUUCUGACAAUAAAUGCUAUGAGAAAAGAAUGGAAAACAACCCUCCACUCUGCGAAGAAUCUGAUGAUCCAGAUGCAGCCUGGUAUGCUGAUUCCUUACAGAACAAUCUAUAUAUUUCUUUGGUUGUUUUGUUUUGUUAUUAUGUAUUAUAAUUAAUGCCUAAAUUUGGUGAUGUAUUUCAUGUUUGUGUAGGAAUGUUCCCUUGCAAGCUUGCAUGCACAAAUUGCCUGUAGCUCCUGAUGUGCGUGGGUCACAGUGGCCAGAACAGUGGCCAUUGAGGCUGGAGAAGGCACCCUAUUGGCUAAACAAUUCUGAGGUUGGGGUUUACGGUAAACCUGCCCUGGAGGACUUUGAAGUAGACUAUGAGCAUUGGAAACGAGUUGUAGGCAAGUCAUAUGUCCAUGGAAUGGGAAUCAACUGGUCUCAUGUCAGAAAUGUGAUGGAUAUGAGAUCUGUAUAUGGAGGGUAAGCAGAUAUCAUCCUUCUUUCAAUUGUCGAACUAGUCGGGUUUGGGGAGGGCGGUGGCAGCUUUGUUUUAAGACUUAGAUUUCAGUUUUAUUUGCAUACAAAUUUUAUAGCAACCACAUCAAUUAUGACAAAAUGGAAGGACUUCUGUUUUUCAGAUUUUAUUGUUUCUCAAAUUAACUUGUUCUUUUCUACCAGCAACUUCAAAGUAAAAGGGAACUGAUCAACCGUGUCUCCUUUUUGUCUAUGAGAUGCUGCAAGCAGCAGCUAUAUUUCACUGUUCAUUUGCAGUCUUAAAUUAAUGUCCUUAUGUUUAAGUUCAUUAGCUCAUGUCAUAUGCAGUAUAAAUUUUGCAUAGUUCCUCUAUCCUUUACUUUGAACAUCAAGUUGUAGGGCUGUUGCAAAAUCAUGCUUGGCAUGGCUAAUUGUGCCAAUGGUUUCUCUGCAAUUUAGUGAUUAAACAUGUUGAGUAACUGCAUAUGGAUGACCUACGUGGAUAAUUUGUGUGCUCACAUGUUCUGAAGAGGGUUCAUUGGCCUGAUAAAGAAUCGUUUGUUCAUUCAGUUGUUCUUGCUGAUGAUAUGAUCCAUGCCCACAUAUUGUGUCUUGAUAUUUUUAAGGCUGCCUAGUGUAAAGGUAGGGUCUUCCUGCCUUCCAUUGAGGAUGAUCAGGAAUUUGGCAGCAUGUUGAUGAAGGGCUGAUGUUAGGUGAUAGACUGGUUUUAGAACCUUUUCAAUUCAUGAAAUUUUAUUAUUUUUGUCUUUUUGGUUAUGUAUAGUGGAACGUGAAGGAUCAGUUAUCUGUUUUAUUACCCACUGAUCUAAUAUUUUCUAAAUUCUGAAUUAAGGGAUAAACAGACACCUUUUCUAGGCUUUCUCCUUGUGCUUUCUGUUUUAAAUUUACUUUUAUGCUUGUUUUUGCAGCUUUGCUGCAGCUUUGCGAGACAUGAAGGUGUGGGUCAUGAAUAUUAUCUCAAUUGACUCCCCUGACACGCUUCCCAUUAUUUAUGAACGCGGACUGUUCGGAAUGUAUCAUGAUUGGUGUGAAUCAUUCAGCACCUACCCCAGAACAUAUGAUCUUCUCCAUGCAGACCAUCUAUUCUCAAAGCUCAAAAAGAGGUGAGCGUUAUAAUUUAAUUAUUCACUUAGUUUCAACAAAGCAGAACCAAUUAUUGAAUAUUGGCUAGAAAGUUAAAUAUUCAAUAAUCAUUCUAACAUGAACUUGCUACAAUCCUUGGCCUGUAUGAUUUUCCCCAUUUUCUUUUUUUCUUUUUUGAGGGAACCUGAUUUUGAUUGGAACAUCUCAUAUUUGUUAGUGUCUUACCACUUGGAGGAUACUUCCCAUCCCAAUUGCAGCUCUUUUACCCAAGCCUUUUGACCCUGCUAUCAGAUGGUUAAAGUUCCAGUGGGAUGUGACCCAUCCAUGAUGCACUAUAAUGAUAACCUUCUAACCAAAUGUUGAUCAUCAUUCUGCUAUAGUUAGUGAAAAAUGUUCUCUAAAUUAAUACUGUAUCUUCCUUUCUUAAUACUUUCGAGUAGUAUUAGAAACAACUGGCACUUCUGGCCACAUUGAAGUAUCUCAUUUCAAAAGUGCAUUUGUUACUUCCCUUCCACUCCCAUUAAUUAUGUUAUGGUGCUGGCUGUUUCUGAAUUAUAUUUCCCUUUAGGUGCAAAUUACUGCCGGUGAUUGCGGAGGUGGAUCGGAUACUGAGACCAGAAGGGAAUCUGAUUGUGAGAGACAAUGUGGAGAUAAUUAAUGAAAUAGAGAACAUGGCAAAAUCUUUGCACUGGGAGAUCCGGAUGACCUACUCAAAGAACAAUGAAGGGUUGCUGUGUGUUCAAAAGACAAUGUGGCGGCCAAAAGAGCUAGGGGCAAGCAAGUCAUCGAUGAAUUAGAACCAUCAUCAAUGGUAGUUAGGUAAUUUUGGCUGUUCUCAUGUAGCGGUGUAAAAUUUUUGUUGUAUGCUUUAUCUUUCCUUGUAUCCAAGAAGGGAAAAGCCUUCUAAUUACGGGUCAAUUUUAGAACCAUAUAUUCUUGAAUUAAUGAAAAUAUCCUUCAUUCUUGAAGACUGCAAGAUCUAGUGCUGCUACAGUACCUGGAUCAACUACAGGUGGUGCCAAUAUGAACAUUGUCCAUUAUCAAGAACCUUGUUUGGAUUACAGUUACUGUUUUAUAAAUCUGCACGCAUGAGAAUGGAGGCAUAUCUUAAGCUUACAAGCUCUAUAACUGUCAGAAUUCUUUGUUGACUCGGUUCAUCUUUGCACAACCUUCAGACUAAUGGCUAGGUCCUGCUGUUGGAUGCUUCUGGCUUUCAUUGCACGCAAUAGAACAAUCACUACUAAUUGUUUCUUUUCUGGUGACUAUUAAUUAGGCUUCUGUGGGUUGAUCUUUUUGUUUGUUCCCCUUGUGCAGACAUUUCUUGUUUUUAUUUGGUUCACUGGAAGUGCUUCGCUCAUUUGAAUAAUUUUUUUAAAAAGCUGGUGCCUGGGUAUAUAAUAUUUUGGAAGUAAUUUUUGCAUAUUUGUUUGAUCAUUAAAAAAAAAAGUACAUUUCAGAAUGAUUUGUGUGGUUGAAUAUCUAUUUUUUUUAAAAAUAUAAAAUAUUUGUUAUAUCUUUAAUGAAGAGAAAUUUUUUAUUCCAUUUUAUUUAAAAAGUUUAAGAUUAUUUUUAGAAAAAAAUUAAUUUUUAGUUGGUGAAAAAUUAGAUUCUUUCAUAUCCCCAUAUAUAUAUAUAUAUAUAUAUAUAUAUAUAUAUAUAUAUAUAUAUAUAUAUAUANNNNNNNNNNNNNNNNNNNNUAUAUAUAUAUAUAUAUAUAUAUAUAUAUAUAUAUAUAUAUAUAUAUAUAUAUAUAUGUUCUCAUAAAUUUAAAUUUAAUUUUAUGAAAAGUUUUUUUUUUUUGAAAACUUCAAUUAAAUACGAGAGUCCAAUUUUUUUGUUGGGCUCUGACAUGAUACUAGUUCGAUUUGUAGACAAUUAAACACCACCACCACUCGCACCGCGCAGCUCCUGUGCGCGUUGAUUGGCGCAUUUGGUACCAAUCCUUCACUACCACAGAAGACUGGUGCUGCGAGUGAGAAAGAACUAAUGGAAUUACGUUUUCCGAAAUGGGAAAUGAAUCAUUUCAUAUUGUAAUAAUGCAUCGAACAACCAAAUGGGGCUCACUGGGUGUGGUGAUCUGGAUCUCACUCCUCCAUGUCGAUCACACUUAAGCCUGGUGUAUUUCAUUGAUCACAUUGUAAAAUUUGGGUAGUGAUAUAUGAUACUUUCUUUGAGAGUCCAUAGGAUUAUCCAAAAAGGAGUUGUGGUUAUAAAAUUUGGUGAAGGGAAGGGGUUUGUUAGGAGAUGAGAGGAAUGAUCAUUUAAAUUUCUGAAGGAAAUAAGUCUUUUUUUUUUUUGGUAAAAGAUGCUUUGGGCACCAGCAAAAUGCACAUAAAAAGUUUAUGAGCUUGCAAUUGCUAAUGCGGCAAUUUCAUGAGCAAUCAAAGCGCAUGGGCGCUAGAUAGGUGCUGGGCACAGAACGUAUCCUCCUUAAUAGAGAUUCGGCUACGGUGAUCGCAUAGAUCUAAGGUCCGGGAUGCGCUACAAGGAUAAGUCGUUGCUCCACGACAUUCGUAGGUUACGAGAAGAGUGUGGUUCCUACCAGGCCACGUAUGUAUAUAGGGAAGCAAACGGCGCCACAUGCUAGAUUGCCUUCUUUGCGACUCAUCACUCGGGAGAUAUUCUCUAGACGGACUGUGUGUCACUGUUGGAGCUUUUGUGUAGUAUUUUGUUUUCUGAUUUUGCUAGCUGCAUCCACAUCUAUCGUGUAUGAGCCGUUGUUGUACCAAAAAAAAAGUGUUAGUCUCCCCUUGUUGCUUUAGAAAAUAUUUCUGCGCGCUUGAGCCAUGUAGCAUUACUUUUUAUUUUUAUUUUUUGGUAUGAAUUAGUUAACAAUAGUAAAAGAAAUCCUACAUUAAUGAUAUAAAAUAGGAGUGGAUGAUUAGAUUAAAAUUUGAAGUGAAAAAAAUAAUCGAACAUUGAUUCUAUUUGUUGUUAAAUGUAUUUUCAGAAAUUAGUAUAAAAUUAAUGCAUUCUAGAAUAUAAUUGGCAAAAUUAAACACUAGAAUGGAAUUAUCAUACCUUUUCCCAUGCAUUCUUUCGUUUCAUGCCUAAACAAUGGAAUGAAAAUGAUGAUUUUUCUUCAUUAGUUUUCAUUCAGAUUUUGCUUUUUGUUUUUCUUGUUCAAACUAUCAUUUUAUCCUAAACUAUCUUCUAAAGUAUAAACAAUCAAAUACUAAAACUAUUUUUUAAAAAUAUUUAUACUUUUAAGAAUCUCCAAUCCCUAUUUUUUAAUUUUUAAAAAUACUUUAUUUUAAACUAUAGAUUUGUAUACUCUCUCUCCCUGCCUUGCUAGUACAGAAAGAAGAGAUAAACUGAACGCGAGAAAAAAGAACAACACAUGUAGGACUUAAAGAAUAAAGAGUAAUAAAAAUAGAGAGUGAAAUAAAAGAAGGUUAUUCUUUAAAAAGAAUAGAUGGUAGAAUAGAACAGAGCGGUCAUUCUUAAGCAAAAUUUAUAACUUUCAGCUUAUUCUAGGAUAAACUUAUAGCUGGAAUAAGCUGGAUCAUACCAGACUAGACCUGACCCAAGCCCAAAUUUGGGCUUAUUUCAUGUUCAAGCAUGGCAAAACUAAGGCUCUUUUGGGAGGAUUGUUGGCAGUAGAACUUUUGAAAGUAGAGCUUUCUGAAAUAGAUCUUGUAUAAAAAACUGUUUGCUAUUUGGUAACUAUAUUUCUAAAAUGCUGUGCCAUUUUAACAUGUGUUUGGUAAACAAACUGAGAAAGUACUUUUGGUACGACAAAAUGACUAUAAAAAAUAUUGCAUAAUAUUAUACAAUAGAAAAUAAUAUAAUAUAAUAUAUAUUAAUACAUAAAUAUAUGAUAUAGUAUAAUAUUACUAUAAUGUAAUAUAAUAUUAUUAUAAUAUAGCAAUAUAAUAUUAUAUACUAUAUUAUAAUAUUUUAAUAUAAUAUUAAAUUAUUUAACAUAACAUAUCAAUAUAUUAUGAUAUAAUGUAAUAUAAUAUUAUAUUUAUAGCAUAAUACAAUAAUAAAUAUAUAAAAUAUUAUAAUUAUUAGGGUAAAGUAAUUUUUCAUAAUAUAACAAAUUUUCUAGCUAGGUGAUAAAAUUGAUUAAACCAUUACUAAAUGAACAUUUUGUAUACUUAUUAUAUUUUAUCAUGGGUAUUUUGGUUAAAAAAAGCUUUCCGACCGAGCCUAAAAGUACUUUUUUGGAAAGCUCCAAAAUAGAGCUUCUCCCAAAAAAUUAUUUUUAGCUUUCUGAAAAAGCUAAAUCAGCUUUUCGAAAUUUUUACCAAAUAUCCCUAUUUUAUCUAAAAGUGCUUUUGGAGGCCAGAAAGUACAUUUUAGCCCUCCAAAAGCUCUCCCAAGCCCCGUUUGGAAGAACUUUUGGCAGCAGAGCUUUUGGAAGUAGAGCUGUUGGAAGUAGAGCUUUCUGAAGUAUAGCUUUUAUAAAAAGCUAUUUGCUAUUUGGUAACUAUAUUUUUAAAGUGCUGUGCCACUUUAAUAUAUGUUUGGUAAACAAAAUGGAAAAGUACUUUUGGUAUGAUAAAAUGACCAUAAAGAACAUUGCAUAAUAUUAUACAACAGAAAAUAAUAAAAUAUAAUAUAUAUUAGUACAUAAAUAUAUGAUAUAGUAUAAUAUUACUAUAAUAUAAUAUAACAUAACAUUUUUUAUAAUAUAGUAAUAUAAUAUUAUAUACUAUAUUAUAAUAUUUUAAUAUAAUAUUAAAUUAUUUAACAUAACAUAUCAAUGUAUUAUGAUAUAAUGUAAUAUAAUAUUAUAUUUAUAGUAUAAUACAACAAUAAAUAUAUAAAAUAUUAUAAUUAUUAGUGUAAAGUAAUUUUUCAUAAUAUAGCAAAUUUUCUAGUUAGGUGAUAAAAUUGGUUAAACAAUUAUUAAAGGAACAUUUUGUGUAAUUAUUAUAUUUUAUUUUGGGUAUUUUGGUAAAAAAAAAUAGCUUUCUGACUGGGCCUACGAAUACUUUUUUGGAAAGCUCCAAAAUAGAAUUUCUUCCAAACUUUCUGGAAAAGUUAAAACAGCAUUUCGAAAUUUUUACCAAGCACUCUUAUUUAAUCUAAAAGUAUUUUUGAAGGUUCAGAAAAGCACUCCCAAACGGGGCUAAGCCCAGCGUGAACUUUUUUAAUGGGCUUCAACUUCUAGACCCAAACAGAGAGCCCAGUCUCUAAGCCCGGCCGUGGCUAUUUUCUCUAUCAUUAAUAUAUAAUUCACCCAAACCAGUCCAAGAGACCGGAGGGGAUCGCCUCCUUUUUUUUUUUUUGGCUAAGGUACUCGCUUCCUUCAUCAUCGAGCCAUUCGUCCAUCCAUCCAUCCAUCCAUUCUUUUAGGCGGCGAGGGCGAUGCCAUUAGCGGCAUCUUUCCCUCCCUCUCUCUUCCGACACGCAUCCUUCCGCUCCUCACUUUCUAAAACCCUUUCCUUCCUUCCCCUCCCCCUCCCUUCCCGCUAUGCCCGCCGCCCCUUCUACCUCUCCUCCUCCUCUCUCAGACCAUUCGUCAAACACCCCUCGCGCAGAUCCUUCCGCCCCCGCCCCAUGCCCCACCCCUCCCUCUCCCCUCUCUCCACCGACGCCGCCCCCGCCCUAACCCCUUCCCUUGACCCCGACCCUGACCCCACAGUCGCCGCCUCCACCAGGUCCAAGAAGAAGGCCCGCCGCGAGUCCCCCGAGGGCCUCCUCCGCCACCACCUCGACAUGUGCUCCAAGCGCGGCGACCUCCCCGAUGCCCUCCGCCUCUACGACGCCGCUCGCGCUGCCUCCACCCCCCUCUCCCUCCACCACUACAACGUCCUCCUCUACCUCUGCUCCUCCCCCUCCGACGCCACGGACGACACCCGUGCCCUUGGGCUGGAGCGCGGCUUCGAGAUCUUCCGCCAGAUGGGCGCCGACGCCGUUUCCCCCAAUGAGGCCACCUUCACCAGCGUCGCCCGCCUGGCCGCCGCGAAGCAGGACCCGGACCUCGCCUUUGACCUCGUCAAGCAGAUGUCGAGCGCCGGGAUUCCCCCCAGGCUGAGGUCUUACGGCCCUGCGCUCUUUGGCUUCUGCAAGAAGGGGGAGGUCGAGAAGGCCCACGAGGUGGAGGCCCACAUGGCCGCGGCCGGUGUCGUGCCGGAGGAGCCCGAGCUUGCCGCGCUCCUCAGGCUCAAUGUCGAGAAGGGGAGGGGGGACGACGUGUACCGGCUGCUCCACCGCAUGCGAGCUAUCGUGAGACGGGUAUCGGAGUCCACGGCGGCGAUCGCCGAGGAGUGGUUCAGUUCGGAUGCGGCGGCUGAGGCUGGAGUGGAGGAGUGGGAUGUGGGGAAGGUGAAGGAAGGGGUGGUGAAGGGAGGGGGUGGGUGGCAUGGGCAAGGAUGGUUAGGAAAAGGGCGGUGGAGUGUGGGGAGGAGCGAGAUGGAUGAGAAUGGGGUGUGCCGGCGGUGUGGGGAGAGGCUAGUUUGCAUAGAUAUUGAUCCACAGGAGACGGAGGACUUUGUGAAGUCGUUGGCUUCCCUCGCUUGCCAAAGAGAAGUCAAGACCGACUUCAUGGGUUUCCAGGUUCGUGUGGAUUGUGUUGCAAGUAUAGCUGAUUAUUUCUGCAUCUUGUUUAUACCGGUUCUUGUUUCUCAGUUUGAAAAGAAAGGUUGGAUUUUGUGUCUGGAUGGUUUCCACUGGUUUUUCAUUUCUAUGCAUUGAAAUUCCUUUUUCUUGUAAACAAAAUACCACAUUUCAUUGGACUUUUAGAUGAUCUUGACCUUGCAGUGUUAGAUUGACAUUUUUACGAAAGAUUGAUUAUGCUGCUCUAUGUUGGACAAACAUAUAUGCCUGUGUUAAAAACAGUGUCCUUUAUUACAUUUGAAUUCAGGAAAAUCCAAUGCAGUCAUUAACAGGAUCUGAUGCUUCCCUUGGAUUAAAAAAUCAUGGACCAUGAGUCCAAGAGCGAAUUUAAGUCGGAUGCAUAUUUCAACUAGCAAGCAAAGACUUACCAAUUACUAAAAUUGACACGAUCGCUUAUCCUUUUUCUUAUGGAUAAGGCUUACCAUCCUCAUUUCUUCUGCAUAAGGUUCAUGAUGGUAAAUUGUGGACUAACAAAAUGACAAGUCCAACAUAAAUUAAGUAUUAGCUAAUAAGGUGAAAGUUACUUAUAUUGUAUGUGAAAUAUAUACUAAUUAAAUUAUACUGCAGAUUAACAUAAUGACAUCGUAUUUACUUCCAGCAAAACCUUUGCAUUAUAAAACUAGUGUUAUUGUUCAAUAUCAACUAAAUACAAUUGUUUGUUUUCCUUGUUUCCCUGCAUUUUUCCAUUUUCUAGACACCAACAUGUAUCCAAAUAUGGCACCCAAAUCUAUAUGCGUGCUAUUUGCCCUUGUGUAUCCAUUUUUCAGUAUCCUGCCUUCCUUUCACUUAAAUUAGCAUGUAUCAUUAACAAACAUAUGGAAUAGUAGAAAAUCAAGCAUGUUGCUUUUACUGCCAUAGAUUCAUUGCAUCUUCUAGAAGUAUGGACGAUUUUUGCCUUUUUAGUAUCUUAGAAGCUGAACUCAAUUCAGGAGUGGCUCAACCGUCGUGGACCAUUUGAUGCUGUUAUAGAUGCUGCAAAUGUGGGCCUUUAUAAGCAACACAACUUCAGCUUUUUCCAGGUAAGGGCCUUUUGCAUAAAACGUUAUGAUCCUUGUCAUGUUCCAUUAAUAAGCCCAGCAAUCAUGGAAUGAAAUCCAAUUUAUUUCGAGUUAAAAUAUGUUCACUUCUGUGGCAGCUAAAUUCUGUGGUAAAAGGAAUGCGUCAAAUGAGUCCAUCAAAAAAAAUGCCCCUUAUUAUUUUGCAUUGUCGGCGUGUGAAAGGUGGCCCUGCCGAUAGUCCAAACAAUAAGAAACUAUUGGAGACCUGGCAGAAGGCCGGUGCACUAUAUGCUACCCCUCCAGGCUCAAAUGAUGAUUGGUGAGUUUUUUGCAUAGAGCCUGCCCAAUUCUGCAAUGACUCAACUUUAUCCAUUAUAAAAUUUGUUAAGAAAAAAUAUCUUUGAACUUGUCUCUAUUGAGUAAAUAGUUAUCCCAGUUAGAGACAUAAUAAAAACCAUAGGUGAAAUGAAUGUGAAAACAAGCAAGAAACACAUGCAAAAUUGUUUUCUAAAGGUUUCCCCCGUUAUGUCUUCACUAAUUAUAGAGAUUCUAACAUUAUGGUGCACAAAGAUUCGAAUAGGAAUUCUUUUGAGGCCCAGUGGAAUGAAUAAUAUAGAGGGCUGUUUUUCUUACAACACAUCACUAAAAGAGGAAAUCUUAAAACAAUUAAGGAGCUACCCUUGUGGAACUAACAAAACCUUCGUUAGUUCCUUGGAAGUAGCUCACCACUUUCUCCCUUUCCCUUCUAGAUGGCCUUGGCCAUCCCUCAACCCAUGUGGUCUGCCCCCUCUUAGCAGCACAAUUGCAUCUGUAGUCUCCCUGGUUGCUCCUGUCAUGGCAUUGCAGCCACCAGUGCUCACAUCUCGAUGAUCAACACGGUGCUUUUCGGGUAGUACGCCAAUGCUAGGCCCUUGCUGCUGUGCAGGGUGGCGCGGCAGGCCACCAUUAUCUCUAUUUUCUAGCUUGCUGAUCAAUUCCUUUGCAUGCACAAAAACAAAGACUGCACGAUGGUUGCCUGGCUGCACACUCCAUCCAUUGUCUUUGGCAAGGGAGGCGGAGCUUGAGGCGAGGAGCUUGGAGAGGGUGCAACAUGUGUAAGGGCAAGGUGGUGGCGGAGUGGAGGGCGAGGGAGAUGAUAGUUGCAAUGGUCCAUGACAUGGUUGAUGAGGUCGGCAAGGAGGUGAUCCAUGAGGGUCCGGAAGAUGGUGGUUGGGUUAUGACCGAGGUGGAGGAGUGAUCGUUGGCGUUGACAACAAGGAGGGUGCCAAGUGUCAAGGAGCUUGGAGAAGCAGGGAGGGAUAGGAGGGGUGGAGGUGGCUUCUUGAAAUUGGCUAGUCGGGGAGGAGGGAAUGGAAGUGGUCAACGACAGGGAACCAGAUGAAAUUGAAGGAGAGGGAAGGGCCUCUUCUCAGGAACUAAUGGAGGCUUGCUUAGCCUGUAGAGAUAGAUUUUUACCUACUUUGCGAUUUGCAAUUUGGAUUAUGUGCCAUAUUAUGAGGGGCCUUUCAUAUGACUCAUUCUAGAGGGCCCUCUAUAUAACUUCUAUUCUGAAUUCCUCAUACUUGAUAAAUGCACUCAUUUUUAUCAUUUUUUAUUUUUUGGUCUGCACUUAUUCCUAUGAAAAGCAUACCAUAUCUUUGCCUCUUUGUGUUCAAAAUCUACUCAUUACCUUUUAAGUAAAUCGAUGAUAUCAUUUACAGCAAACUCUCUCUCUCUCUCUCUCUUUCUCUCUGUGUCUCUGUGUGUGUGAAAUUUGUGAUUGUAGAUUGUCUUUGUUGUGCUGAGCUCAAAAGAACAGCUAAUUUUUCAUUUCAAUUCUUGACUUUCUCUUAUCUCUGUCUUUCUAACAUCAAUUUAUACCACUAGCAUGAUUUUACUAACUGCAUGACAUCUUUGCUUUGUUUUAUAAUUUGGCUUUUCAUAUCAUUACAGGUAUUGGUUGUAUGCGGCUGUCAGUUGUAGGUCUUUGCUUGUUACAAAUGAUGAGAUGAGGGACCACUUGUUUGAACUGCUAGGGACUAGUUUCUUCCCUAGAUGGAAAGAGAAGCAUCAGGUCUGUCUAUGCUCCUUACAGCAGUUCAUAACAGUGUAUUUCCAAUACGAUAAUAGCAACUUUUUAGGGUAUCUAUUUGAUUUUAUGAUUCUUUUUAAAUAUCAUUACUCUAGAUUUCUUGGUUAUGAUUAUUGCUUCCUUGUAAACCUUUCUUUUAAUUUCCAUCAAAUUUAAUGCUUUGUUCAAUUUACUUUUGAACCUAAUCUUCCAAGCUUUAUUGUAAAUUCUAGUUAGCAUUUGUAGUAGAAUUUGUCAUCAGAUGGUGCUAAAUCAUUUGCAUAUGAUGCACAUUAAGGACCUGCCUCCUGAUAUUCUCAAUCAACAAUGACAUGACUUGUGGACUUGGAGUAGAUAUGCAUGUUGUUGACAUUAAUGUAUGCAAGUGCUACGUCACACUGUUCUGGUAUUGUUACGUGCGAAUUUUGCAGCUAUAACUUGCAUUUAAAUAUUUGCAGGUGCGUCUUACAUUUUCCAGAAAAGGCCCCAGUUUCCACAUGCCGCCUCCAUAUUCAAUUGUCAUUCAGGUGAUUAAUCCAAAUCUGAUUUCUCAUCCUGCUAGCUGAAAUAUUAGAGUAAUACAAUGUUUGGCUUCAAUAAGCAACGUGCUUUUGUUUUUAGUGAUAUCAGAUGGCUAGGUGAUUCCAGCCCUUUUGGGUUAGAUGCAACUAUGGGCCCAACCUGUGUUGCACUGGCCCAGAGUUGGCCAUUCCAUGUCAUGAUGCAUUCAUAUUAGAUAACCAACCUGCUAGGUAUGGAAUCUUGAUAAGUGGUCCAUUUUUGCCACUUCUCUGAGUGUUUUUGUCCCAUUUUUUGGUUCAUGUCUCUAGUUGCACUAACUUAUGCAGCCCCACAAUUUGGAAAUCUUGAAUAUAUAUCAUGAAUCUUAUACCCUAAACAACCUGCUAGGCCAAGUCUGUCUCUUUAUUGCAAAAUGACCUCAUAGUUCAUACGCUCAGACCAUUGCUUCCUGAUAUGUGGGCGAUAAUGGUCUGGUUUAGGUCAGAUCUACCUUUCUUAUGAAGAGCUAAUUGAUCUGAUCCAAAUCCAAUCUAACCUGGUCAAUGGUGACACUCGCUGACCUGAAUCCACUGGCUCGUCAGUUAGACAUCCAUGUACCUGAGUUGGCGUGGGCUUUUGGGGGAAGAAAGGAGAAGAGUGGAGGGUGGCGAGGAAAUGAGAGGAUGGUUCCAAAUCACAGCACAACAGGACUAUGGCGUGGGCAAUGGCAGUGAAUCAGCAGACAGCAGCACAAGAUAAGGCUUUGGCAAUGGCAGUGCAUCAGCAGACAGCAGCACAGGAUUGGGAGUUAUAAGGGUUAGGGUUUGCCUUCUAGAUCAGGAUCUUUUUUUUUUUUUUAGAAAAAAGGAAUCAUCCUUUUUUUUAAUGUGAUGGUGCUCUGUGGAUUAAAUUAACCCAGAACUGACAAGUGGGGCAAUCUCAUUUGGUCUAAUACGCGGCCGGUGGAACAAGCAAGCUGAAUCCUCCCUGGUUUUUUCUCUCUCUUUUUGUUUUUGGUGGGGUGGGGGUGGUUGAUUGUUUCAUGUUAACAGGUUUGGGUAUACAUAUAUACAGGAUGGGCAAUUCAAAAGCAAGGAUCAUUUGUUGGGAAGGUCAUUAGUAAGGAACUUGUUAACGAAGCAGCUAAAUGGGCAGAUCCUGCAGAGUCUUCAAGGCUGUGACUUUGUUUUGGUUUUACCUAUUUUGUUUUAUUUAUUGAUUAUUGUGAGCUUGUUACUUGUUGAUGGAGAGGUAAGGACUGUUAGUUGAUUUCCAUGUUCAUGGUCACUCUUCAAAUGCCAAGAUUUGCUUAAGUUUUGCUCCUCAUUGGUCGUUCUUAACCGUAACUUUGAUCUUGCCUCUGUUGGAUGCAGGAGUCUGAAGGUGGAAGCUGGCAUAUACCGACAGUUUUAGGUGAUGAUAUUGAAACACCUCGGCAGUGGGUUUGUGCAACCAGACAUGCUAACACAGUUUCCUCUCUAUCCCAUGCAUGGUUAGGCCAGAUGAGGUCGUAGCAUCUAUAAUUAGCUCGAGGUGAGCGCACAUUUUUGAUUCGAUCCAUUCACACCUUCUCCAUCGAUCCCUUAAUGAAAGGGUAUUUAUUCAUCUUCUGUAAUAUUUAUUGUGUGUAUUGUUAUAUUUAUUGAGUGGUAAAUUCUAUAUGUUUAAAACUGCCAUUGACUCCGAAAAUAAUAAUACAUACAGAACUAGAUUAAUUAGCUGCCAUCUAAAUUGAAUUGGUCUGCCCCCCCUUGGUUUUAUUUCUCUAGGCUUAGACAUAUCAAGACUCUACAAUGUAGUUAGGUUGGUAUUCUGGCUUUUCUACUAAUUAUUACAUCAGAUUCACCUAGAAAUAGGUGUGGUCUCACGCGCAGUGAGAGGCCUGUGGUACAUCUUAAACAGGUUAUGCAAUGCCUAUGUAGAUCCUGCUUGAAUGUUUUGAGGUAACAAUGCAAGCACAUCAACUCUAUUUUCUUUGUGAAUAUCAGAGUUAGGAUGAACCAUUGAUCAAGUCCUGAAAUGCAGUGUCCUCAUCUGUUGCUUGCUCCUUGCAACUCCAAUGCUGAUUUAAAAACUGUGUAACAAGAAAAACUUUCGAAGUCUUUCUGCUGAUCAGACUAAGAAUGAAGAGAAGAUUAGAAAGCGAGUUGAACCAGUUUGGUCGUCUUGCAGAAAGUCUGUGGCAUGUUAUUUGCUGAACCAUUUGACGGUAAAAUCUUUGCGGCAGUUUAACUACAAUCAAAUAUUUUUAGGAGGAUUUGAUGGUUAAAGGAUGCAUAAGAGGCAAGUUGAGCGAGGAGGUGGGAGUCAUGACGUUUCCUAUACAUAUCAUAUCAUCAUUUUUUUUAAUGAAAGAAAAACAAAGGCUAUACAGCAAUUCUCACAAGUUGAAAAGAUUUGGCAGCAUUUCCCUUUUUUUUUUUCUAGCUUUCAAGCUAUUCCUCAUGCUUUUCCGCAAAGUGAAUUGCAGCUUGGGGGGCUGGGGGAGGGAGGUGGUCUCGGGGGAAGGCUGGCCUUGGUGGAGGGAAAGGAUAGGAGGAGGUGGAUGAGGUGGCAGGAUGGGGAGGAGGAGGGCGUUGGGUGACAAAGGAUAUACAGUUUAUAUUGAUACACACGUAGAGAACAUAAUGUCUGCGUUGAUACACACAUGCAGACUGAUAUGCUCGCUGAUAUGCACCUUUUAAUAGGUGGUAGUACAUAUGUAACAUAUGCGGAUAAUUCGAGUCUUUUUUGUAAAUACAUAAUUUACUUAUCAGAGACUAGGUAUGUGAAUCUAAUGGACAUUUAUUUAGUAUCUGAUACGUGUAAUAUGCUACUUGAUAUGCACUUAUAUUUUUGGCCACACUGUCAUUCUCAAUGCACACUUACUCUUUACUUAAACACAUGCAUAACUUUUCUUGAUACAUAGUUAUCUUUACUCUCUGAUCCUCCGGCGCACACUUUUAACUAAUAUGGCUUGCUCACGUAGUUACAAAUAUAUGUUCCUGAUACAUAACAAUCAUACAUGGAUAUUUACCUUUCAUCAUCGAUAUACUGCCUUGUCUAAUUCCUAAGUAGCAUCUAGGUUUAGUUCCUCUGCUAAGGCCAUGGAUGAUGCACCAAUAAAGGGGAAUCCCAAAAAAUCCUCCUCAAGACUGGAUCACUAACUUCUGCAUUCUAGGUAUAGUUAGUCUGUCAAGGCUAAGAAUGUGCACCAACAAGAACAAGUGAAUACGGAAAACUAAAUGUAUUGAACAACAAAUAUUUACUUUUUGUCUAUCGGAUAUGAAGAUCCAUCCAUAUUCCUCCAUGGGCCCAAUACCUCCUAACACACAUGUAAGAAACUAGCUCCAGUUGUUCUUCGUCUCUGCCUUGAUUAUAGCCCAUGAAAUGAGAAACAUAUUAUCAUGACCAUCUUACCUUACUGCAGCUAGUAGCUGCCCCUCAAAGGAUCCGUUUAAGAGGCAUCCAUUGAGUCAAAUAAUGGAUCUGCAGUCUCUUACAAACCCAUGCUUACAUGCUGUAAGAUAGUAGUGCAACCUUCUAAAAAUAGGUUGGCUGGCCUCCUUUAGCCUCCUGACAUCCCACAACAUUGUGCUCUCAAAAUUACUUUUCUUGAUUAUCUUGCAGUACUCCCAUAAGCGGGCGUACUGUUCUUUAUGGCUCCCCUGAAUGAUCUCCAGUGCUCAUAUCUUAGCUCUAUUGCACUAGGUCCUAGAAACAGGAACUUUGACAUCUCUCCUCACUUGUUUUCUGAAUCUUUUGAUACUCCACUUUGCAUCAAAUUUAAUCUUCUCAACGUACCUCUCGGCAAGAAACUUAGAUGUCAUAUUAUGAUUUUCAAAUUAUCUUCUACACUUGUGCACUGACUAGAAGGUCUUGAUCCGAUAGGUCUCCCUUCUUUGUAUCGUUAAAGCUGUAUCCUCUACCCAUGGCUUUUCUUGCAUACAGUCGUGAUCUAGCUUCUCUAAUUCUUCUUGUACACAAGAUCAAAUGCCUUCCGAAUCGAAUAAAGCCGUAGCGCCUUCUUAAACAUACGGGGCUACUGAACCUCAUCCCAACCGCAAGCUUUAUUGUCUAUUUAAUAUCUGAAGUUUUUUUGAAUUUGGGAUAAUCUAAAUCCUGAAUCACAUUAUUAGAAUCACUGCCACCAGCCAAACUACGAAGCUGAAAGCUAUCACUACUUUUCGAUUCUCUCCCUAUAGAUUGCUCAUCUCCAAGAAAAUCUCCAUUUACAUUGAGCCUAGAAUGCACAGUCUACACUCUCAUCUCCUCCUCUAUAAAAUCUUUAUUAAUAUACUCAUCAAGUAAAUCUCAUGCUCAUGGUCUGACUCCCUUAGCUCACUAAGAGAUGCAUAGGCUCGAUAGUGUCACUGCUAUCUAUAGGCUCGAUAGCGAUAACAUCUCCUCUUUUCCUCAUAUGUGACUGCAACUCCCUUCCCCUUAUCAUCAACAACCUUUCCCUUUCGAACUGCAACUGAUUUUCUUCCACCAACCAUUUUGAUUGCUACUCUCUUAAUCCUAAUCUUAAACUUGGAUGCAGCUGCUUUCUUGAUAGUGGUUGUAGAACCUACUAACUUAGCCUCAUUGCCCCCUUGAAGAGGCAUCUCUCCAACAGCUUCCUCCAUGGCAUCAGUAGCUUCAUCCAUUUUGUGUUCCACAAACACUUCAACAACAUCCUCUCGUAGACUCCAAUAUUUCUAAAAUAUCUACGUCACACCUAAGUUUUCUCAAGCCAGUGUAGUAGAAAUAACUAGCCCCGCAUAUCUUCAAGCUCCGUGAUACUGAACCUUUCUAGGCCACAAUUAUCGAAGUAGCUAAUGAUAGUGAGGGAGAUACUUGACAGAUCCAUCGUAGUAGAUUUGCACAGUGAAUCAUUGUCCAUCCUUGGAAGAACAAACAAGUGAAAUACAUGAACAUAACAUGAACUUAUGUGAACUUACAUGAAAAUGGAUAGCUGACAUGAAACAAAAAUACAUGAACUCAAGAUGAAAUAGAUAACUACAUGAACAUCGACAACUACAUGGAAUAAUACAUUGCAACUUAUAUGAAAUUAGUGAUAGGUGCAACCAUAACACAAAAUGAACUAUGGUUCCAUUGCAAGAGAUAGUUUUAAGUGCAUCGCACUCCGUUAAAAAUUAUUGCAUGCUUGCCUUGACUCAUGUCUCAGAGGUUAAAAAACUCAAAUAGAGUGCUCAAAUCAACUGGCUUUCUAUCGGACAGUUUAGCAAUGGUCAAGGCUUUUUUAUGCUUCCACUAUGCAUUCAAAAAGCCACCACAUAAGUUAAAAAGGGUUUUUUUAUACUUCUAUUAUAGCAUAGUUAGGCUAAAAAAGCAAUGUACACACAACACAAAAGGGACCACAACACAUGGGCAUAGAAUCAAAAAAAUCCCUUAUUAAGGGACCGUUGGACAUCAAUCAUUGGAUCAUAGGUAAGAGGGACCACAAUACAACACAUAGCAGUGAACAUUACAUGUAUAUAAACAACAUUAAAUCACGAUAUCUAUAAAACAAUCGACCAUAUGCACAAACACAUAUUGUGCACGAACAAACCAAAUUCAGCUUCCAAAUCUAGGGUUUUGAUGGCUAAAUUAAAGCUAGCAUCUAAAUAAAUACAACAUAUAAUGUGCACUAAAUCAAAAUUUUUCAAGAAAACAUUUCGAGAAAAUGCAUUACCAGCCGAAGAAGAGGUGAAACUCUCUUCACGGCUCGACAGAGAGUUCUUGGGCUCUUCGGAUGUCUGCUAUGGUGGUGCGCGAGGAAGGAGGGAUGGCUAGACUCGAGCGGAGGGUGGGAUUGUCGGUGCUUGUCGGAAAAUCGUCGGAGAAUGGAGGAUGGGAGUAGGGGAUUCAAACAGAAUAACCUUCGGAAUUAGGAGGGGGGUGGUCAAAACCUAUUUCAAAUCAUCUAAAUGAGGGAGGGGCAUUUUCGACAAUUUAAACGGCAAACCCGGAUUCGGCUAUAUUCGGCUAUAUUCUGGCUUGGUAUCCGCAGAGCACCUUUGGUUCAGGAUUGAUCUUAACUUUGAUGAUUGAUAACCAUGAAUUAUAUCUAUUGAACAUCAAAUCAUAGAAAAUUUGAAUUAUGGAUUAAAAUGGAUUGAUACAUACUUCCCCAUAUUUUUAUGGCCCUCCUUCAGUGCCAUCUUUUAUAACACGUUUAACAGAUUCGCUUCUAGACAGCCUCCUAAUUCUUGUGACCUUACUAGUCAAAGUCUGUUGCUAGCUGUACUCUGUAUCCCUCCUAGAUUUCCAAAUAUUUGGCAUGUGCAUUAGAUAGGAACUCAUUCAGGACUCCGUCAAAUGACAUUUGCGGGUAGAUCCCCGGCCACCUCCAUGCCGUGUGGGUUUGGGUUGCAUCUUUCGCGUGUGAAAGAAUUAUUGAUGUUCUUUCGCAAGUUGGAUCAUAAAUGGCACAGAUCUCUUUCAUUCACCCACCUCUACAGACCUCGAAGCGGCCCUUGUGCGAUUCAACGGUUGACAUCGUGAAAUUCAGUGAAUCGUUCUUACGCGUAAAAGAUACAACCCAAACCCAUGGGGCCCAACCAAAUGACUAUGCCAACCUAGAUCCUAGAUCCAAAAAAAUCAUAUUUGGCAUCCGUCAUCGGACAUCUAUUAUGAUAAUAUGGCCAUGGUAGAUGGUUAUGGUUAUAGUCAACAGCCAUUUGAUUAAAAAAAAAAAUUUGUGUCCAACUAUGAAAUAAGUGAACGAGGGGAUUCAGUAGCUGGGGAAGGUUGGAUAACGUCAUGGGUAUCGGCAUGCUCGCGAUACAUAACCAUGCAUUCUAUUUAUGAGCACAACGAGAGGGCAAUCAAGACAUGCCAAGGUCAAUAUUCGAAUAAAAACGUGGAUAAAUGAUGUCUAUAUAAUAGGAAGCAAGUUGGUCUUUGGACCCUAUUCCUCUUUAGCUCCGCUCUAAAGAAAACAGCUAAAAAAGAGGAGGCAUCGAGGCAAAAUAUGGCUCCCAAGCAGAAGGGAGAACCGCCGAAAAGAGGGUGCAUCAAACGCCGGAUACUCACUUCUCUCUGUGGAAGGUUGAGGCGGAUGUUUACUUCCAUCUGGAACUACUUCCGUUAGUCCUUUCCCUAUGAGUGAAUAAAAUUUCAUAUGGAGUCUUGAGAUGUUUUAUCUUUAUAGAAUGGUUUUCUAUGUGGUGUUUCUUACCUUACUCUAUUCUUGUCGGAGUGUGAUGGCUUGUGCUCCUUUUUUUUUGAUCGAAUGGUUGCCAAAUAAGUUUCUCGUUCCUCUCCCUUUUUUUAAACCAGUGACUUGUACUCGGAGCUGCAAGCAACACAACAUUGUAUAUUUGUAUAGACCUGGGUGACAACUUCCUAUUACUUUAAAGAUCCACUAGUAUCAAUAAUUUUUUUAAAUUUUUUCAUAAUUGAUCGGAAGGAUCACCAAAUUCUAUAUGAACUACUUUUGCCGCUAUAAGUAGAACUGGAUAGGGUCCAAGAGUGAGAUCCACUAUAUCGAGAAGCCGAAUCGUGCAUCAAACCUCUGGAGACCAUAACUUGGUCAUUCAACAUUUAAUUGCAAUUUUUUUUAAAAAUAUUGGAUAGCUUUUCGAGAUCUAAGUUGUGGUGUUAUUCCUUCAAGGGGGCCAUGCCCCUAGCGAUUAGAUACAAAUUUCAUUAUUUGGGUUUCAAAACAAACCGGUCAAACUAAACUUUUUUUUUGCGAAAAUUUUUUUGACUAGACAUAUCUCUCAAUCCGAGAAAAAUCAAUCAGAGCGACAGAAAGCAAAAUAGAUGUAAAAAUUGAGAUCUAUCUUCUGUAAAAUUUUAGUUUUUUCACAUUUAUUUCUACUAGCUAUAUUUAUAUUAGGAAAGUGAGUUUUGUUAUAACUAGAAAAGGAACCCGAUCUGGAUUGUGCAAGGACGGACCUCACUUUUAUAAAUAUGACUAUAUAUCUAAGUUUAUAAUCAAUAAAAGAAAAAAUAGAUUUAAAAUUCUACUUUCGUCAUUUUUUUAUUUUUAAAAUAUUUUUUGAAAGAUACAAAUUGAGCAAAUCGAGAAAAAUCUUUCGCUUCUCCGGUAAGAUCAUACACUAGACUUAGUUAAGUAGGUCACAGCCACGUUCCGUGGCAUCUGCUAUUUCAAGGCCAAGAUAUUAUAGCCGACAAACUGACGUAGAGGGAGUGCAAAGGCCGUGGCCACGUUAACACGACCAUUAGUUUUAGCUGUUUGUUAUAUUACACAUGUCUAAUGUGAUCCAAAAGCUUCACGACUGCAGUCAUGCACGCUCCCCAUGGUUAUUGAUGUUUUUUUUAAGGAUCCCUUCUAUGGUACUUUUGUCAGCCCGGAAAAAACCGGGCCCAUGCUCAUGUUUUAGAGCCACAGAUCGGGCUUAGGCUUGGAAACUGAGGUCCAAAGAAUUUCCGGGCCGGGCUUGGACAAGGACUCUUGUAGAAGAUACAUAGUGCCCGUUUUGAGCCCAGCCUGGUCCAAAAUGCACUUGAGUCAGGUUGGGCUCGGUUUUUUAUGCUUUCCGGAGGAAGUUACCGUCUUAUUAGACAAAGUAUAACAGAUAUAAUAAACGAACGGAUAAACGAUAAGGCAGAAAAGCCACCGGAUUCAUUUCAUAGAUGAGGUGAAUUAAGGCAGCUAGGCAGCUUCCAGUCCUCUAUAUAUCACAACCUAAUGGAAGUAAUUUUUGGCCGCACUGGGCAGUAUUAUUUUCAACAAUCAAAGUAUACAUAUAAAAAGAGCAGUAGGUCUUAUAUAUGUAACAUAUUAAUCCAUUCACUAAUAAAAUGAAAUUUUGAUCCCCCCCGACCCGAUAAUGAUAGUGCGAUGCUCUAUGUGCUCGCCAAGGUGAUGGAGGCCUUAGGUUUUGUUUAGAUUUGCUGUUGGUAAUAGAGCUUUUGAACAAUAAAACUUCUCUUAGUAGAGCUUUUACAAAAAGUUGUUUGAGGUAACUAUAUUUUAAAAAUGCUGCGAUGAUUUAGCAUAUAUUUGGCAACCAAAUUGAGAAAUUACUUUCCAUAUGAUAAAAUGAUUAUUAAGAAUAUUGCAUCAUACUAGAGCAUCUAUUGGUAACCAUGGCCUACUUUAGCUAUUGUUAAAUUGAAAAAAAGGAAAAAAUUCAACAACACUUUCUACUGCAUUGCUUCUGUUAGGAUAUAAGACUAGAGCAUUGUGGCGUACAAUUUGGUAUUUAUGACUAUGAGUAUCGGUGAAAUGAACUUCCUCCUAAGAAAAUUUGGUUAAGUUUAUAAUUUGCAAGGCCACAAAAAAGUUGGGGAUCUAUCCUUCUACAACACUAUUCCAAUUUUCAAAUAUUAUGUUGAUUCUCAUGAAUGUAUUUGUAUAAUAUUUCUAUAAUACAUUGGAUACACUAUAUAUAUAUAUAUAUAUAUAUAUAUAUAUAUAUAUANNNNNNNNNNNNNNNNNNNNNNNNNNNNNNNNNNNNNNNNNNNNNNNNNNNNNNNNNNNNNNNNNNNNNNNNNNNNNNNNNNNNNNNNNNNNNNNNNNNNNNNNNNNNAUGGUCGUCUUGCUAAAAGUCUGUAGCACGCUAGUUGCUGAAGCAUUUUGUAAUUAUUACCACCCCCAACACCCCCCCCCCCUCUAAAAAAAAGGAAAAAGGAGCUCGUGGGCCGACCCCUGAUUUUGUUUGGGCUUGUGGGCCGGCCUGGGGUGGCCAGGCCCAAACUUGACUCGCGCUUGGCAUGCGGUCGAUCGGGGAAGAAGACCCCGGCUGGGGUCUUCUUUCUUCCCAAUUUCGGUAGAAAGGAGGACUCUCCGAGGGCAAUCCGAGUUCGAAUCGAACUCGAAAAUCUUGCCUAUAUAUCUCUCCUUCUCCUCCUCUGAUUUCCAUCACCAAAAUCGUUGGGAAACGCCACCGAUUCCAAGUAUGCCUCACCGAGUCUUCUCCUCAAAUCCUUGCUAGAAACGUCGCCAGAUCGUCGCCGGAUUGAGCUAAUACUCGAGCCACCCUCCUCUCUCUCUUCCUUCUCGUCAUCUAGCCAGCGAUUUUUCUUUGAAUGAGUCGGCAAAUCACCGAAAUCCAUCUGAAACAGGGGUGCCUUGUUUCGGCUUCUUCUUUCGAGACCUGCCACCGCCGGCCACUAGUUUUGGCCGAGCUUUGCGACCUCCCAAGAGCCUUGAGUUUGUGUGGCCGUCGGUCAGAGAGAUCGGCCAUGAUCAGGCCGAGUCUGAUUGGUACUUUGAUAGUCCUCUUCCUCUUUUCUUCCAUUCUUCUCGCCAGCCGACCACUAUCGCCGGAGCUUGACCACCUUGGACUCUCCUAUCUGAGGAAGAGAUCCGAGGAAGAGAGAGAGAGAGAGAACGACUCUCCUCUAUUUUGGAAGAAGAAGAGGGCCCUCUCCUCUUCUUUCUCUCUCCUCUCUCCUCUCCCCUCUCCCCUCUCCCCUCUCCCUCUCCUCUCCCCUCUCCCCUCUCCCCUCUCCUCUCCCCUCUCCCUCUCCUCUCUUGGUUUCUCUUCCUUGUGUUUCUCUCUCUACAGAAUUUUUUCUCUCUACGAGUGUGAGGACCUGUGCAGGCGUGUGUUUAAUCCCAUAUCAGUUAUUCGCUGGGUAGAUUUUGGAUACUUAUACAGGAUCAAGGAAUCUAAAAUAUACCUUCCGGCUAGUUAUUUUGGGGGAGGUUGUAAAUUGUUGCAAAUGGUAUUAGAGCCUAUGUGGACUAGGGGACACUGCAGCUCAGAUUUAUUAAGGUUGAUCAUGAGCUGAUCGUGGUGUUUGUGAUUAGAUUUGAAUGGAUUUGGAUCCUUAGCCUGACGAGGAUGUCAGGGUUUGAACGGGGGAAGUAUGUGAGGAUCCAUGCAGACGUAUGUUUAGUCCCACAUCGGUCAUUCACUGGGUAGAUCUUGGGUACUUAUAUAGGAUCAAGGAACCCAAAAUAUACCUUCCGGCUAGUCAUUUUGGGUGAGGUUCUGGGUUGUUACAAUGAUAUUGUCUCUCUCUACAGGACUUUCUCUCUCUACUUGACUCGUAGACCAGAUACAUUGAUUUAUGCCUCUAUGAGGGAUCGAAUCUGGACCUCUGAUUAAACUCGGGCUGAGAUUCUCUCUCUUCUUCCUAAUUCAAUUCGGAUUGAGGUUCUCUUCCUCUUUCUCUCUCUAGAAAGCAGAGGGAUCCUAGUUAAGCUUUGCUCUUUGUUGCUCGGAUCAAAGUUAACCAAGGCCCUAAACCGCCCCGGUACACGAGCGGUAGUUCGACCCAUUACUUCAACCCCAAUUAGAUCUUUUGAAAUACGACCACUUUUGAUAUUUACCUGAUCCGUUGAAUUCUCCUUGCUCGGACUAACCCGAGCAGUCGGGCAAUAUCACCUGAUCGACCUGAUUUGGGGGUAUGAGGUCGUUCUCCAGUGAUGUUUAAUUUUGACUUCGUUUGACUUCUGGAAUGAUGAUGAAAUUUAUGAUGUUUUAACAGGUGCACUUGUCUCGUCAAACUGAAGUAAGAUUUUGCAAUGAUAAGAGGUAAGUAACUUAAUACUUCAAAGUGUAUUUUCUAAAUUAUUUGGUAAAAUAAUUAUUAGUUGAUUAAAUUAUGAGAUAUGUUUUGUAUUUAGUAAAAUGGGUCAAACAUGUUAAAUAUCAUUUGAAAAUUUUGCUAUAUGUUAUGAAAUUUGUAAAAUAUGAAUGGGUAACUUAUGAAAUCUGUUUUUAUAUAUAUGUAUUCUCAGCAUGGCUAUGAUCUGUUCUGGCCUCACCAGUGGAGAUUAUUCGUUGGCCCUGUCGACUUAUAUUUGUGAGAAACUAGUUUCCACACCGUUACCACCGGUGAUUAGAAUAGUAAGUUUUGGACACCGUUGCCACUAGUGAUAGAAUAAUGGUUUUUGGACACCGUUACAACUGGUGAUUAGAAUAGUGGUUUUUGGACACCGUUGCUACCGGUGAUUAGAAUAGUGAUUUUUGAACACCGUUGCCGAUGGUGAUUAACAAUAGUGGUUUUUGGCACUUUGUGCGACUCAUACCACUGGGUUACGUGGCCGUAGCCUAUUGAUGCUGGGAUUCUGGUAUCAGAGUUUUUGCAAAAAUGAUAAUAAGUUUCGAAAAGAAAAAUAUGCUUAUUUGUGAUUUAAUUGUCAAUCAUUAUUUUGUAUUUUGAUUAAAUAUCUAGUAUGCUUUGACUCCACUCUGGGAUAUUAUGUUGCUUACUGGCCCAAUAUAGCUUAUUAUUAUGUUUCUCUGUUUUUCAGAUUCGGAAGCAUGAUUGCUUGAGAUUUGGAGAGUGCGCUAGUUCUUUUGAAGAUACUUUUAGUCAGUUUAGUUAGAACAUUUUAUUUGAGUCAUGAUUAGUUGUAAGCAUAUAUUAACUUAUGUCAUUUUGGAACUAUUAUAAGAACUAUUUUGAUAAGCUUUGAUUAAUAAAAUUUUUAAGAAUUAUUAUCACUUUGCUAUGAUCUGUAGCCUUGCAUGCUUGUAUGGUCCGCCGUGCGGACGUGUGGCGUCUGUCGCGCUGCAGGCUCGGGGCGUGGCACAUUUGACGGUAAAAUCUUUGUGGCAGUUUAACUACUAUCAAAUAUUUUUAGGAGGAUUUGAUGGGAAGUUGAGUGAGGAGGUGGGGGUCAUGACGUUUGGUAUACAUAUCAUCAUCAUCAUUUUUUUUUAAUGAAAGAAAAACAAAGGCUACACAGCAAUUCUCCAAGUUGAAAAGAUUUGGCAGCAUUUCCCUAUUUUUUUCAGCUUUCACACUAUUCCUUAUGUUUUUCCUCAAAGUGAAUUGCAGCUUCGGGGGCCAGGGGAGGGAGGCUCUCUUGGGGGAAGGCUGGCCUUGGUGGAGGGAAAGGAAAAAAAAGGAGGUGGAUGAGGUGGCAGGAUGGGGAGGAUAUUGGGGCCGACGAAGAGGAUGGCAAUGUCGAUGAAAGGAUAGACAUACAGUCUAUAUUGACUUAUAUGAAAAUGGAUAGCUUACAUGAAACGAAAAUACAUGAACUCAAGAUGAAAUAGAUCACUACAUGAAUGAUAUACAUUGCAACUUAUAUGAAAUUAGUGAUAGGUGCAACCAUAACACAAAAUGAACUAUGGCUCUAUUGCAAGAGAUAGUUUUAAGUGCCUUGCACUCCGUUAAAAAUUAUUGCAUGCAUGCUUUGACUCAUGUUUCAGAGGUUAAAAAACUCAAAUAGAGUGCUCAAAUCAACUGGCUUUUUGUCCGCCAGUUUAGCAAUGGUCAAGACUUUUUUAUGCUUCCACUAUGCAUUCAAAAAGCUACUACAUCAGUUAAAAAGGGUUUUUUAUACUUUCACUAUAGCAUAGCUAGGCUACAAAGGUAAUGCACACACAACAUAGAAGGGACCACAACACAUGGGCACAAAAUCAAAAAAAAUCCCUUAUUAAGGGACCGCUGGACAUCAAUCAUUGGAUCAUAGGUAAGAGGGACCACAACACAACACAUAGCACUGAACAUUACAUAUACAUAAACAACAUUAAUCCAUGAUACCUAUAAAACAAUCAACCACAUGCACAAACACAUAUUGUGCAUGAACAAACCAAAAUUCAGCUUCCAAAUCUAUGGUUUUGAUGGCUAAAUUGAAGUCGGCCUCUAAACAAAUACCACAACGUAUAUUGUGCACUAAAUCAAAAUUUUUCAAGGAAACAUUUCGAGAAAAAGCAUUACCAGCCAAAGAAGAGGUGAAGCUCUCUUCACUGUUUGACAGAGAGUUCACGGUCUCUUUGGAUGCCUGCUAUGGUGGUGCGUAAGGAGGGAGGGAUGGCCAGACUCGAGCUGAGGGUGGGAUUGUCGGUGCUUGCCGGAAAAUCGUCGGAGAGUGGAGGACGGGAGUAGGGGAUUCAAACGGAAUAACCUUCGAAAUUAGGAGGGGGGUAGUCGAAACCUAUUUCAAAUCAUCUAAAUGAGGGAGGGGCAUUUUCGUCAAUUUAAAUGGCAAGCUAAUGUUGUCGGCUUGUCUGGGAGCUGUAGGACCACUUUGAAAUAUUUCAAAAAUUUGAAGAGUUAGUUUGGCACUUUUAAAGUAUAGGGGGUGUAAGUGAGAUUGGCCUACAGUUAAAGGGGUGUUCCUGUAAUUUUCUCAAUAUAUUUAUUUUGUAUCCUUAAGUGCUACUUCAAAUCUCUUGUGAAGUGUGGAUUGGUUCAGAUUGGAAUGGGCGGUAUGUUUUGCAUGGAAGGAGGAUUCACCUUCCUUUGUGCAAAUCCACCAUUGGAUCACAUACUUGUUACUCUGAGAUCUAUGCAGGAACUUGUUCGAAGUGUUUUGAGAUCUGUGCGGUGGGUGGUCCAAUGGUGGGAUCAUGUGGAAGUUAGCUCAGAAGAUAUAACAGACAUGGACUUUGAAAUUAGAUUAAAAAUAGAAAGGAGAGAAAAGGCCACGAGGGUUGACGCUAGAUUGGGUUGCAUGCUGGUCGAAACAUAAACCCGAACUCGGGCUAGAUUCUGGCUGGGAUCUGCGGAGCACCUUUGGUUCAGGAUUGAUCUUAACUUUGAUGAUUGAUAACCAUGAAUUAUAUCUGCUGAACAUCAAAUCAUAGAAAAUUUGAAUUAUGGAUUGAAAUGGAUUGAUACAAACUUCCCCAUAUUUUCAUGGCCCUCCUUCAGUGCCAUCUUUUACAACACGUUUAGCAGAUUCGCUUCUAGACAGCCUCCUAAUUCUUGUGACCUUACUAGUCAAAGUCUGUUGCUAUCCCAACCUGUACUCUGUAUCCAUCCUAGAUUUCCAAAUAUUUGGCAUGUGCAUUAAUAGGAACUCAUUCAAGACUCCGUCCAAUGACAUUUGCUAUUAGUUCCCCGAUCACCAGGCCACCUCCGUGUCGUGUGGGUCCGGGUUGCAUCUUUCGCCUGAAAGAAUGUUUGAUGUUUUUUCGCAAGUUGGAUCACGAAUGGCAGAGAUCUCUUUCAUCCAUCUACCUUCAUAGAUCUCGAAGCGGCUCUUGUGCGAUUCAACGGUUGACAUCGUAAAAUUCAGUGAAUCAUUGUCCUAGCAAAAAAAUUCAGUGAAUUGUUCUUACGCAUAAAAGAUAUAACCCAAACUCAUGGGGCCCAAGCGAAUGACUAUGCCAACCUAGAUCCAAAAAAUCAAGACAUGCCAAGGUCAACAUUCGAAUAAAAACGUGGAUAAAUGAUCUCUAUAAAAUAGGAAGCAAGGUGGUCUUUGGACCCUAUGCCUCUUUAGCUCCGCUCUAAAGAAACAACUAAAAAAGAGGAGGCAUCGAGGCAAAAUAUGGCUCCCAAGCAGAAGGGAGAACCGCCGAAAAGAGGGCGCAUCAAACGCCGGAUAUUCACUCCUUUCUGUGGAAGGUUGAGGCGGAUGUUUACUUCCAUCUGGAACUACUUCCGUUAGUCCUUUCCCUAUGAGUGAAUAAAAUUUCAUAUGGAGUCUUGAGAUGUUUCAUCUUUAUAGAAUGGUUUUCUAUGUGGUGUUUCUUACCUUACUCCAUUCUUGUUGGAGUGUAAUGGCUUGUACUCCUUUUUUUGAUCGAAUGGUUGCCAAAUAAGUUUCUCAUUCCUCUCCUUUUUUUUUUUUUUUACCAGUGACUUGACAACUUCCUAUUACUUUAAAGAUCCACUAGUUCCAAUAAUUUUUUUAAAAUUUUUCGUAAUUGAUCCAAGGGAUCACCAAAUUCUAUAUGGACUACUUUUGCUACUAUAAGUAGGGUUGAAUAGGAUCCAGGAGCGAGAUCUACUAUAUCGAGAAGCCGAAUCAUACACCAAACCUCUGGAGACCAUAGCUUGGCCAUUCAACGUCUAAUUGAGAUUUUUUUUAAAAAAUCAGAUAGCUUUUCGAGAUUUAAGUCGUGGUGUUGUUUCUUAAAGGAGGCCAUGCCCGUAGCGAUCAGAUACAAAUUCCAUUAUUUGCGCUCCAAAAUAAAUUGAUCAAACUAAUUUUUUUUCACAAAUUUUUUUGACCAGACAUACCUUUCAAUUCGAGAAGAAUCAGACAAAGCGACAGAAAUCAUAGUUGAUGUAGAAGUUGAGAUAUACCUUAUAUAGAAUUUUAAUUUUUUUUGUAUUUACUUCUACUAGCUAUGUCUAUAUUAGGAAAGUGAGUCUUGUUAGAACUAAAAAAUGAACCCAACCUAAAAUAUGUAAGGGCGAACCUCAUUUUUAUAAAUAUGACCAUAUAUUUCAGUUUAUAAUCAAUAAAAGAAAAAAAAUAAAAUCAUAGUUUCAUUAUUUUCUUUGUUUUUUCAAAUAUUUUUUUACAAGAUUCGAACAGAUUAAGAAAAAUUUUUUUCUUCCCCUUAGACUUAGUUUAGCAGCCAAGAUAUUAUAGCCGACAAACUGACGUAGAGGGAGUGCAAAGGUCGUGGCCACGUUAACACGACCAUUAGUUUUAGCUGUUUGUUAUAUUACACAUGUCUAAUGUGAUCCAAAAGCUUCACGACUGCAGUCAUGCACGCUCCCCAUGGUUUUUGAUGUUUUUUUUAAGGAUCCCUUCUAUGGUACUUUUGUCAGCCCGGAAAAAACCGGGCCCAUGCUCAUGUUUUAGAGCCACAGAUCGGGCUUAGGCUUGGAAACUGAGGUCCAAAGAAUUUCCGGGCCGGGCUUGGACAAGGACUCUUGUAGAAGAUACAUAGUGCCCGUUUUGAGCCCAGCCUGGUCCAAAAUGCACUUGAGUCAGGUUGGGCUCGGUUUUUUAUGCUUUCCGGAGGAAGUUACCGUCUUAUUAGACAAAGUAUAACAGAUAUAAUAAACGAACGGAUAAACGAUAAGGCAGAAAAGCCACCGGAUUCAUUUCAUAGAUGAGGUGAAUUAAGGCAGCUAGGCAGCUUCCAGUCCUCUAUAUAUCACAACCUAAUGGAAGUAAUUUUUGGCCGCACUGGGCAGUAUUAUUUUCAACAAUCAAAUUAUAGAUAUAAAAAGAGCAGUAGGUCUUAUAUAUGUAACAUAUUAAUCCAUUCACUAAUAAAAUCUCCCCCACCCACCCCAUAAUGAUAGUGCUUUGCUCAGGUUUUGUUUGGAAUUGCUGUUGGUAAAAAAGCUUUUGAACACUAAAGCUUCUCGUAGUAGAGCUUUUACAAAAAAUAGUUUACUAUUUGAUAACUAUAUUUUAAAAACAUUGCGAUGUUUUAGCAUAUAUUCGGCAACCAAAUUAAGAAAUUACUUUCAAUAUGAUAAAAUGAUUAUUAAGAAUAUUGCAUCGUACUAGAGCAUUUGUUGGUAACCAUGGCCUACUUUAGCUAUUGUUAAAUUGAACAAAAAGGAAAAAAACCAACAACACUUUCUAUUGCUUUGCUUCUGUUAGGAUAUAAGACUUGAGCAUUGCAGUGUACAAUUUGGUAUUUAUGAAUAUGAGUAUCGGUGAAAUGAACUUCCUUUUAGGAAAAAAUUGGUUAAGCUUAUAAUUUGCAAGGCCACGAAAAUGAUCGGAGAAAAUGGCCUAAUUAUAUGUGUAUAUGGAAUUUCAUGUAUUCCGAGGAUCGGCAGACAACCAUAGCCAUCUGCUACACCUACAUCCAAUUUAUGUAGGGCUUAUGAUUUGAGUCAAAUUAACCUUUACUUGAUGUUGCUCAACCACAACAUUAGGUGUAUAUGAUUUGAGUAUAGGUCUAAAUUCUAAGGCUAAAGAUCGCUUUAUGUUUGCUGCACCCUGAAGCGCCCUCACAAAGGAGCUAGCGAGACUAUAUUUUUUCCCUUUUUCUGAGGGAAAGAAAAAAAAAGGAUCAGUGAAUAUUUCAGAUCCAAUAUUUUUUAUGGGUUCUAGCUAGUGCUAGCAAAUGAUUCAAAAUGCUCCAAGAGGACUAGUGUACAAUUUGGUUUAAGGUUCAACAAGCUGAAAACAAAUUGAGACUUUAUCAUGAAUUUUACUUUUGAAAUUAGUUCAAAGCUGAGCUUGAACAAAUUUCAACUAGAUAUAGCACUAAAAUUCGUCGUCUCGGUGCCGGACCUCAUACCGAUACCAUACUAGGACAGUAUAUAUUCAUACCGAAUACUAAUAAAGAACCGAUAUGGUACAGUAUGCUCCAUACCAUCCGGUUCAGGCUGGUACGGCAUACCAAGCAUAGCACACAUGACAUACAUUUAGAAAUAUACUUGACUUAAAUUAAAAAUAUAAAAUUGUUUGAAAUGUACUAAUGUUUGGUAUAGGUCGACAUUACUUUCGAUCGCCCUCAUUCUAAUAGAAAACCGGCAGAAACGGGUUUCGAACUUUGCGCUCAAAAUUAAUGUUGAGCUGAACAUGGAUAUAGCCAGGAUCAAACGAAUUCGACUCAUGAAUUGAAGUAUGAGGACGAAGUAGGGAAUGAAGAGGAGAAAGAAAACAAAAACAAAAAAAAACGACAAGAAGAACAACAAUAGGGCCAGUGAUGGCACCCAGCAUUUUCCAAAUAUUAAUCGAGUGGCCCACAGCUCGUCCUCGUUUGGUAACAUGAUUAGUUUGAAGCUAGGAUAAGAGGUGGUUCGAUUUACGGGUCCUCUCCAUUGGAUACGUACAGUGUUGUUCCUUUCCGGGGUCCGCAAUGCAAGGUUGGUGGGUCGUCUUUUAUGAGAUUUUGGAAGGAUUGCGAGGGCUUCGUGCGGUGGUCGUUUCUGGCUUCGUACGACAGUACCGACGGUAAACAAUUUUUAGCCACCGCUUGUUCUACUUUGGAAGAAUAAACAAAAAAGAAUUAUUGGAUGUCACCUGGACUUGCUUGGUGAUGACCUCGUCAGAUUUCAUGUUCUUAAAUCCUACCAGAUCGGAUCAAUCGUACUAUUUGGUGUUUUCAGCAAACACAUAGCACAGGCUGACGACGAAAAAAAAUAAUGAUAUAUAUAUCUGGGCCAAUAAAGUUGCUGAUUGAGUGACUUUUUUUAUGGCUAACUAUUCAGUGGGUGGGGCGGAAUUGCCUAAUACUUUUUGAGCUGUUUUAUUUUUUGAUUUUUUUGGCUGUAUCUGUACCUGUUUGGUAUGAUUUUUUCUUUUUUUUUCUGCAGGAGGUGCUUGUUUAUUAAGUUGGUAAAGUUCUUGGAAUUGGAUUAAGUGAUCUGAGAUAGAAUCCUGCCAUUAAUAUCGGUGUUCGGAAGAUUAAAGAUAUAGCAAGAGGGCUGUUAUGUAUUUUGAAUCCAUCGAUCGAGAUCAAAUUGUACAGGUGGCUAAGUCACGGGUUCAUAAUUCAAGCAUGGGCUAAUAGUGGGUUGAUUGAGAUCAGGAAUGACUCGAUGCUUUCCCUAUGUAUUCCCCAACCUAAUCACGCGUUUUGACGGGUCGAUCAGGACAAGUUGAUCAGGGUUCAAAUUUCUAACAAGUUUAGAGCCUCUCAAGUUUUUCCUAGCCAACCGGCUGUUUGGUUUGCAAUUAUGUUUGUCCAUGCAUUACAUGAUGGCCCAUGCAUCACGAGCCAUUUUAAUCAAUACAUGGAUAGCCAUGAUUGCAAGUUUGAAUGGCCAAAGUCGGGUCCCAAACCUAAGAGUGUGAACUUUUAUGUACAUGUUCGUAAUUGAGUAUUUAUAUAGUGAGCUAGGUGACUCUUCUCAGCCUCCUUUUUCAUCAUCAUCAUCAAAAAAAAAAGAGAGAAUUUAUAUAGUGAGCGCAAGCAAAUCAACUCUUAUGCCCAACCCUAGGAGUAGUAGUUGAUUCGUAACUAAAUCCCUAAUCCCUGGAAAUCAUCGAAUAUUAGGAUCCAUCAAAACUUUUCUUCUAAAAAAUCUGCAUUCGUCCCUAAGCUUUCAGUGAGAGAGGGCUCCUACUUAACCAAGUAANNNNNNNNNNNNNNNNNNNNNNNNNNNNNNNNNNNNNNNNNNNNNNNNNNNNNNNNNNNNNNNNNNNNNNNNNNNNNNNNNNNNNNNNNNNNNNNNNNNNNNNNNNNNNNNNNNNNNNNNNNNNNNNNNNNNNNAUAUAUAUAUGAGAUUGUCGACUAUUAGAGACUGAUCACAACACGCAGUCGGAAAACAUCAAAUGUGGUCCAAGAAGAUACGAAGAUAUGGAAUGGAUAUCUUCAUUCGUAUGGUCAACUUAUUAUCUCCACUUUUUUAUAGUACAUGGCUUAGGUUGCAAGCAGCAAGCUGCCAUCAAAGCCACCUGCAUAGAGCUGCAUUAUAAACUGUUUUAUGCCCCAUAUGGUGCACCCAGCCUCCUGUAACCUAAGCUGGGCCCAUGAUUAUAAGUUUUGAUCAUAUACAUAACUUAUGUAUGUCAUUUUCCUAUCGGGCUAGUCGAUAACUAUGGAACCAUGCAUCCAUAUUAGAUUUCUAGCUCGAUCGGAGGAUCAAAUCAAACAUGGCUCGCACCGAGGCGCCUUACGACAAGCUAGCACUCAAUCAAAGGUUGGAGCCGACAGAUGUUUGGCAAUUGGAGGCCAAAUUGUCGACUAAUGCUGUAGAUAUGUACAAAAAAUAUAUGCAUGCAUACAUACAUGUAUAUGAUUUUAUUCGGAGAAGAUACAAAAUUGACACCCUGCCCACAAAAACUGUGGCAUUGUGGGGCAGGGCAUCACAUGAGCGAGCCUCGCCACAUCCACACCUCAACUCGUCGGGGAUUUCCACUAGGGAGAAACAACAAGGAGGCCUAAUGAUAACAAAGACAACAACAACAACAUGUAAUUUGUUUUUGUCCAUAUAAUUGAUCUUGUGAGGGAGUGAGGCAGAGGAUGAAGCCAUGUAGCUCCAUGGGCAUGGAGGCAAUGAUCAAAAGGAUCCAAAGGAGAAGAAGUCAGGUUGAUGGAGUCUUGGAGGAUAGAAGCCAGCGGGUGAAGGCAGGGAGGGUCCGCAUGUCGGCCCGGUAGUGGUGCUGGGUGAAUGCCAUGAAAUCGGCCCAUGUGAAGUCCGGGUACAGCCUCGGCCUCCCGAGAUCCCCCGGCGGUGGCCGCACCACCCGGUCCUCCCUCGGGCACAGGAAGAAGGCCAGCGACCGCCGCUCCCGCAGCCGAUUCACCACCGCCCGGUGCAGGCAGCUCUUGUACCGGCCGUUCGACAAGGCCUGCAAAUUCAAACACGAGAGCACUCUUAAUGUAUCCAUGCAUGCCUCAGUCCACAACUUAACCUAGCUAUCAUAUUCCUUUUGGUUACGUACUUAGCCGUCCAAGUUACCAUUUUUGUUGGAUGCUUCUAUGCCGUUUCGAAUUAUAUCUAUAAAAUAGAAUGAAGGCAGUGUGGUAAUGCAGGCAGUGGAGUCUUUGUGGCUUGACUUGACUUGUGGUAGAAUGAUUGUCUGCUCUUUUUUGCUAAAAAUGGAAGUAUCAUACAUAACAUAUACGGAUACAACUAAGAAAAUCAAAAAACAGUACGUCACGGAGUGCACAGGACAACUCUGCCUCUCCCACCCAGAGGUGGUCUUUUGAAUGGUUGGCAAUAAAGAGGCCACUCAGUCGGCGGCCCCAUUAGCCUCCCUAAACAUGUGCUUCGCUUGGAGCACCAUUCUAUCACAAAUCAUGGCCCGGAUAUCUCCCCGUAGGGGAUGGUAAUCACCGACCCCUCCGGAAACUUGCCGAACCCACCCAAUGACCGUCUGCUCCUUUCAAACAUGGGAACGGUUUCAUGCAUGCGAUGGUGCAUUGUUCUACAUCUUGGUUUGAUGCAUGUAUGGGAAAUUGAAAGGUGUGAGAAUACAUGCAUGAUGAUGGACAUCACUAGCACCAAAAUGAAAUAUGCAUGUCAAAGAUAAGUAUGGAUCAUUUAGUCUUAAACUCUUGCGAUUAAUGCGUCGGUGAGGUAUGAUUCAGUGGUAAAAACUUGGUAGUGGUUUGUAUUCUGCAGAAUUAGAUGCCCAAACUUGGCUACCCACCACAAAAUCUAGGAGAAUUGUUUGAAUUUAGCCACUAUUUUUCUUAGCAUUUUGUAGGUGCCAAUUAAUGCUUACUUGCAUGGUAUAAAAGUUAAUUCUUCAUGAGCACUUGCAACCGGCAGCAUCGAUCAUUUGGAAAGGAAAUCAGUUUAUUUUCAUCCCUGUCAAUCUACGGGCAGUAGAUUUAACAUGUGUUAUGAAUUGUAUGCACAAUAGCCCUAACUUUAUAUGAGGGUUUGAAUGUGAGAUGCUAGUUAGGACAGAGGCAAACAUAAAAUAACAUUCUAAUUAUAAAGGACUGGGUGAUAUGUUGUUCCUUGUCGAUGGAAAAUAUGUAAUGCUUUUGCUUUCCUUCGUAUUUUUGGUGCUACGAAGAUGGUAAUUAUGAUCAAUAUAGUUCAGUAACUAGGGGCCACAAGUGUCUCGUAAAAGAUGUGAUCAGUAGGAUCGGACAAAAAUGACAUGGCCCGUGCACUGUGCCAUACGCUACGUACUAUUUCCCUGCCCACCUAUGGGGGCAUCUUGACGAAACAAGACAAGCCAAUAUGCUGGCUUUUCUCUUAUGGUCAUGUCAUAAAUAUACGAGAACCUAGGCGUUAAAAUGGACAUGAAAGUAAAACCUUCAAACACA